rnacentral:lncRNA from 1 species
AACAUUGAUGAUAUAAGCAUCUGGGGUGGGCUUAACUCGAACCCAUUCUCCAUCGGUUUUUCGAUUUACUUCCAACCCUCCAACAUCAUCCUGAGCAAGGAAAGUUAAGGCUCCGGAAUCCUUGUGGCGACCAACGCCCAGAGCUAGGUGAGGAAUGGAGCAAGGUGGGUAGUGAUUGAGGCGGAUGAAGUUUGUUGAUUCUUCAUUCAGGGAUUAUUUCAUCCCUUUUAACCAAAUAUUUAACAUGAUCAAAGACUAUUCCCUAAAUGAAGGCAUACUGUAGCAAAUACCCUUAAUCUGAACAUUGAAAGUACAACUUAAACUAGUAUCAAACACUCUGUUUUUAAACCCAUAGCUACUCCAAAUAUCCCAAAUACUCUUUUCUAUGUAACCUCUCUUUGUCUCUUUCUCGCUCACACACACAUGCUUCCCCACAAAAAUACAUACACACAUAGAGAAGAACACAAUCUCUUAUCCGAUUCCCUUCCGAUUUAUGAUUCUAAGCUGGCGGGUCACUCUCUUAUUCUUUUGCUUUCUUGCGAUGGAGCUCCAUGCUCUCCUUUCCUCAUUUUUUUUCUUGGAUAAAUACUCUAUAAAACAUCCUCUCUCGAUGCUCUAUCUAAACUCACUUGCUCAUUUCACAUUUUUUUCUUUUUGGAUGCUUUCUUUAUGCUCCCAGGCAUAUGCCAGUUUUUUAUGACUAUUUUUGAAGUUGGGAUUCAGAAUUCACUAAAAUCUUUUCUCAAACUUGGAUUUUUCUCAACUCAACCCUAACUUCUUUUCUAUCAGUACCAAGGCUAGAGAAUAUAGUUUAUACCCUUGUAUUUCGUUAUGUACCAAGCCCACAAGAUGAUCAAUAAGUUUCUCUCUAGAUUUUACAUUGGAGUUGAUUGAUGACAUACCCUUAUUAGGUACUAUAUUCUCUUCCUUAGGUAUUGCUUUUUCCUUCCUUAGAUACUACCUUUGCAACCUUGGGUGCACGAUCGAAUCCAUCGUUUCAUGGCCACUUCAAGUAAGUCAGGAACUUAUGUACAUGUGUGCUACAUGUCUUAUAGGUAUUACCUUUACAUUCUGUAGGUACUACCUUUACCUUCCAUAGGUACAAAUAUGAUUAAUAAUAAGAAUUUUAACAUAAAAAAGGGAAAAAUCAUGUCUGAUAAUAAAAUUGCAUAUAUUUUCUUUCUUGCUUUUUUUUUUUUUUUUGGGUCUUUGCUUUGGUUUUUAUUUAUGUGUUUGUUUCUUUUAGUCUUUGUGUGUGUGUGUGUUUUAUUUUAUUUUAUUUUUUUCAUCCCUAUGCAGAAGAUGUAGAGGAAGCAACAUCACAUCAUAAGGUGCAUUUUUCUGUUCAUUUAAGCCUAAAGGUUCUGGAUUCACAAAAUGGUGGGAACUAAGGGUGAGAAACUGGAAAAAAAAAUGUUGGAUUGAGCUACAUUUGAUCAAUAGUGAAUUUGCAAAAAAGAUUGUAGGAGAGGUUUCUUGAGGUGGACAAGGUCAGAAGCAAGGAGCCUUUUCCUAGUUUUUGGGAAGAACUUAUUGUUAACGUGUGAAUUCAUUAAGGGUAAUUUAUGUAAGAUUUUCUAGAUUUUGCAAGUGAAUGCACCUUAGCUUUUCCUAUUGUAUUUGUGUUUUUUUAGGUUGAUUAUUUUAUUGAUCGUCACCACUCAAGGAAUGGAAGCAAUAGGGUCUCUAGAUGUACUGCGUAAAGGCGGGCAUACAGGCGUUGUUAGGAAUGUGUUUCCCAUGUCCAACAAGCAUAUUGACACCACCUAAAGCCAAGGCAUCUUUGGACGAGGAGUUCUAGCUUCUACUUCUGUGGACUUUGUAGAUGUCGUCUGGCUCUUCUAAAUAUUUAUUGUUAUGUAGUAGUUAUACACAUGUACUUUGUUUAAGUGAAUUGAUUAUUGGAUUUUUAGUUAAAUCAAAUUUAAGGGUAUGUUGUUUAAUUUACUAGUGAUCUCUUGUUUGUAAUUCUCGUUAUCAUAUAUAAAUCUUUGUUAGCAUUUUCCAAUUUCCUCAAUAGCAACUAUAUUAGUUUUCAGUGGAAUGAAUCUUGAGUAACUUGUAGUAUCAUUUUUGGUUUUGAAUUGACUAAUCUGUUUUGGAAGGAUGAAUUAGAUAUAUGAGCUUGAUUGCUAACAGUAGUUGAGUUUGUUUUGAUCUCGGGAUAUUUGCCUUGUUGAAUAGGACGUAGAUUUUGGGUCCAAAGAGUUGAAAAUUGAUGAGCUUAACCAAGACAUAGGAGAACCACAUGCAACACUAACCAGAGUUCCUACAACAAGCUAAUAACCAUGAUUUAGAAAUGUGAUUUCGUUAAAGGGAAGCAUUUCUAAUCUUAUUUGAAAGGAAACUUUGAUGUCUUCCCUAAUACACUAGAAUAUUAAUUUAAAAACAACAAUUAAGGUUAUAUUAACUAUUAUAAUAAUUUAUAAAUUAUAUAAAUAUGAUAAUAACUAUUAAAAUGAAAGUAUUAAAUGUAAAAAAGUUUAAUCUUGUUGGGUAAAAACUUCAUCAAUCUUUUAUUAUUGAACUUCUAUUAUAUAAUCAAACAUAGUGAUGAUCCUCGGUUGGAUUAAUCAACACUUGUUUCAUAAAUUGAACAACAUAUAACAUGAUCAACCAUAAACAAACAAGUAAACAUCAUACUAGAUAAAACUAUCUCUUAAGAUUUCUAUUAUUACAUGUUUAAAUUACAAAUCAUAUUUUUGCAACUUUCGUAAAAUUAUGCAAUAGAUAUGAUUAAAAUUACGAAACAUCGGAAAUGUAUAUUGAUUCAUUAUUCAGAUUCAUCAUAUCAUAUAUAUCCUUUAGUAGUCCAUAAGAUCAAAUAAUAACCAAAAUUCAAAAAAUAUGUUUUAUGAUCCAAAAUUGAUUGACACUAAUAUCAUUUGUUAAAUAAACUUUAUGUGAAAUAAUUAUUUUGGAAAAUCAAUUUGGAUGCAUAAUGCAUAAUAGGUAUAAGAAAUAAAGAAAUGACAAAAUAAUAAUUAUAUUCUUGUCUUAAUCCAUGAUACUGAUAACACUUGUAAUGUGAAUUUGAGUCAUUUUGUGAAUUGUUGGGUCAAGGUCUUCAACUCACCAUUCUCAUUUAGUAGAUGAGUCAAUUGUGUGGUAUAUGUUGUUAUAAGUAAAACAACUAAAAACAUAAGAAUGCAAUGUGACUUAGGACCUUAACUUUAUAAAAAAGAUUUAUAACUCUUAAUAUUCUCAUAAAAGAUUAUAUGAAAGUUAUACUCAUUAUUUAUAAACAUUAUACACAGAUUAAUGGACAAUGGUAAACUACCAACUUGAAUACAUUCAUGUAAUUGUAUAAAUUACACUUUUUCAUCUUCCUCUAUUAGUCAUAAACUUUAUGUACAAAUGAAAUCUCAUAAAGAUGGAGUUACACAAGUUGUAAUACCAUAUUCUUAUAAAUGAAAUUUUUCUAACUCUGUAUUUAUAAUUUUAAUCUUCUAUGUUAGAAGUUGAAUUUGUUCCACGUCGCCAAGUUAUUGGGUUAUUAUGUUGUUCAUAUAUGUAGAUUGGUCACCUCUCCAAGCUAGCUUUUGGGAAUGAAUUCUAUUCAAACCCAUUUAACAUGGUAUCAGAGCUUGGUUUGACUGUGGGUUGUGGGUUCGAGCCACCUCUCUGCAAUUCGCAUGUUUGUUCCUUAUUUGCAUGUUUGGAAGUCUAGAAAAGGUUAUUUGCAUUUGUUUGUCUCUUCACGUGUGGAUAUGGGACCACACAUAAGAGAGGGUGUUAAAAAGCUUGAUAUGUACGUAUAUUGAACCUAAAUCUUAUAAGUUUAAGCUUUUAGGAAAAUUAGUAAUUCAACAUUCUAUACAUAAAAUUAUUUGAUGUCCAAUCAAUUGAUUCACCUACCUAUCAAUUAAUAUACUUUUAAAUAAAAUAUAUUUCAAUCCAUUACACAAAUAUAAUUAAAACAAAAUACUAUAGUAAUGUGAGUAUGUGAUAAAUAAAUAAAAUAAAAAUAAUCACGUGUUACAUGUAAACUAUAUUCAAAGGAAAAACCCACUAUUAAACAAUCCAUUGUAUAAUGAUCAAUUACAAAGACCAAGUAUUACCAAACUUAAAAGUAUCUAAAUCAUACUCACUUUGCACAUUUUCUUUAUACUUGGAUCCUUUAAACACAUUUAUCCCAAUGUGGAUGCAUCUUGAGUUCUAAUCAAGGAAAUCAACCUUUGAGUAAAAUUUUCAUCAAGUUAAAGUCUCUUUAUAUCAUUGAGAACCAUAUCAAGAUUUCUUUUUGUUGGUUGCUUUCAAAGUCCCACUAGAAUUAGAAUGAACAUUUUAUAAAUUCUAGGACUUUAACAUAUGAAUUCUUCAAUGAGUCAAUCAAAUAUUAAAUUUUAUCUCCAUAGAUGGACCUCAAUGAAUUUUUCAACAAAUUAAAGGUGUUAACACUAAUUUCAUAUUAGAAAAAAAAAAAAAAUCAUGUGACACAUAUUGAUAUAUAUAUAUAUAUAUAUAUAUAUAUAUAUAUAGGUGUUGUCUGGGAUAAAUAGAUUGAAUUCAUGAGAAAAUUAUUCUUAAUUUUGUAAAAAUUAUAUAUAUAAGAAAGUUUUUAGACUUACUAAAACACAUUACUAAUCAAGUGGUAAUAUUUAUAUCUCAUUAUUUUGUAAUCAAGUCUCAUUCAUUUGUAUCACAUAUGAGUCCUAUUAUUUUAUACCUUACUCUUAUUAUAUUGUACUUUGAUCUUAUUUGUUUAUACAUCGAUUUCAUUUCUUUAUAUGUUCAUCAUAUUUAUUUAUAUCUCGAUCUUAAUUAUUUAUAUCUUUCAAUAGUUUAGAUUUCAAUACAUAUUUUUAAAUAUUUUAAUUGGAAAUUCAAUAUCUUACUAUUUUUCUAAAUAGCUACCUAUAAUCCUUUGUAGACUCAAAAUUCACUUCAAGCCAUCAAAAAAAUCGACCUCUCUUUGUAAGUUGCUAUACUCAUUGCUAAACUAUAAUUCCAAAAAUAGCAGAACUUUUCAUACUUAUUCUAGGCAAUUAGAGUCGAGAUGUUCCAGGCAUAUACCAUUGUCUUUCAAGAUUUGAAAGAAAUGUUACGAUUUCAGCAUGAAAUAAUGCAUGUCGAUUAACAAUAUUGCUCAGAUUCUUUAGGCAAAGGUCCCAGCCUAGAGAUUGAUAAUGUUUCUUUGAAGCAAAAUGACAAAAUGGAAUAACACAAGAAAGCCAGAACCAAUUAAGUGUCCACAGACAAAAAAAUUUAUUUAUUUAUUUUCUGAACCACCCCUGAAAUUGACACCUCCCAUACAGUCUGCAUUUCUGUGGCACUAUUUCCCUUAUUCCUAACCAUAAAUCUGCUGCCAUCUCAAUAAUUCACAUCCUUAUCCACUCCUUAUCUAGGGUUGUAACACUUUUUUCAAAAAGAUUUUUUUUUUUUUUUUUCUAAGGGGUGGAUAAGGGUCCUGAGACAAGCUGUGGAAUAAUUAUAAACCCACUUGGGUAAUGGUUUCAUUGUCAGGGUAAUACUAUUUAAGGUGAAAAUCAGCUGGGUCUAUCAUUCUUGUUUCCAUAUGACUGUUUCCAAGGAUAACUCAACCUUCAAAUCCAUCGAGCAGUCAUAUAAAAAUACACGCAGAUUUCAUAUUUUGAAGCUUGUCCUGUGUUCAGAUCGGAUAACUCACUCAUAUGCCUAAUCACCAAUCGCCAACUUGAGCGUAAAAAAAGCGUGGGGCGAUAUUAUUUGUAUAUGGGUUUGACUGUUUGAGAGAGAAAGGUGGGGUGUCCCUUGGAGGAGUCCAAAGGCCAUUUUUGAACCUGCCUUUGAUUAUCGCCAUGGCAAAUCAACAGCUUGUAGUGUAUAUAUAUAUAUAUAUAUAUAUUAAUGGAGACCAAGACUCAAAUAGAGAGAGAGACGCGGGAUGCGAUAAAGAGAACAGUAUAGCCAAGAGUAUAUAAGCAUUUCUAUUGCUGUAAUGGUGAUUCAGAGACUGGAAAUGUGUAUAUCACUGCUGAAAAUGGCAGUAGAGUUUGUGCUUGUUUUCGCGGAGGCAGUCGGGCUAGUCAUCAACCACAAUGCCACGCCGCUUUUGGCAAACUCAGCCUCAGUUGGCAAUGAUGUUUCUGUCCCUUUUAUCGGUUUUCUUCUUUGAAUUCUUCGUCUUGUAGUUUCCUUCCUUAGCAGAAUGCCCAUUGGCCAUUGUAUACGUUGAGGUUUCAUUUUUGUCUUGAUAGAUUUUGCCUUGGAAAGUGUCUGUACUACCAGCUAAAAGAUGUGAAUGUUUGAUAGGAGAGAGUACAUAUAACAUCUUUGUAAACUUCGAUUAAUUUUGGUUCUGGGUGAGCUUCAUCUUCUGCAAAUUCAUUUGCUGGUAGCUUUGGAAAUGAAUCUUCAGUGGUUUGGGUGGUGAUUAUUUGCUUGCUUCACACGAUUUUAUGUGUUGUUCCUUUGGUAAUAAUCUUGUUGGAUGGAUCAAGGAGGAGCGAUGAUCAGGAAAAUAAAGUCGGGAGAAAGAAAAGAUAUAAUGAUGAUUAAGAAAGGCUUUAAUAUACUUGCAAGAUCAGGAAAAAAUAUUUCUUGGUUAAUCAAUUAUUUUCUUGCUUGAUAUGGGUUUGAUACUUUUUGUCAAUUGGUGAUCAUUCUGGGAAGAUCAGGAAGAAGAAAAUGGGGUCUAGAUGAAGAAAAGCUAUAAUGGUGAUUAUUAAUUGAAAUCAGAUGAAAUAAAAGUCUGUUUCCAUCAUUCUUAAUAGGGUUUCAUAGUCCCCGCAGGACUUUAGUACUCAUCAAACUCAUAAAUUUUGAACAACUUUGAGCUAACCUUCUGCAUUAAUUUGGUGCAUCUGCGCAGUUGCAGAGUAUGAACACCCACAAAAUCUUAAUAUGAAUCUUUUGGGGCAAUAGCUUCUAUAUAUGAUGGAUGAUAAGAACAAAGCAAAUCUUGGGUUCUCCAUGGCCACGAUCAUUUAUCCGCCAUAUAAAAUGCAGAUUUUCCUAACACCAACCCCUUAUUUUAAUAAAGUCAAGUUAUUUUAAGGCCCCCAUUAUUAGACAUGCCCUAGAAGCAUUGGGUCUGUGAUUAAAAAAAUGUAGUAAUAUCAUUUAAAAUAUCUAACACUGAAAUUUUGAUAAUUUUGAAUGUCAUAGUGUGGAUUUGAAGAAAGAAAUCGUAUCCAAGAUCUCUUCCUUUUCCUGGGAAACAUUAGUCUUGGUCAAUUAUGAACUGUUACACGUUACCUAUCAUGAUCAUAUUUAUAUUAGCUUUGAUUUCUAUGGGGGUUAUAAUUUAUUUGUAUGCUAAUCAUAGAGGUGAUACAUGUGAUCCACAUGUCAUAUUUGGACUUGGAACCAAUCAUUGGAUUCCUUUGAUGAACUGGCAAUGGAAGAAUACUAAUUGCUCCGGUCCCUUUCUUUUUUCAACGUAGGAUGAUCAGGUCCUUUGAUCUCUUCCACACCCACUGGCUGUUUUUCUUUGUUCCUUUUUCAAUCAUCCAUAGCUGAAAAGCCUUGAUGCCCUCCUUGACUUUCCCAAGAUAAAACACCUUAUCUUCACUUUCUUUCUUUUCCCUUUAAAUUUGAUUUUAGAUCUGAAAUCCAGGGCUUAUGACCCUGUAGAAGAAAGACAGAUAUGAAGCUUGGGAUGAUUUGAACUUCAGUUUGAUUUUCUGCACACUGUUUAAAACUCCUGAAAUAUAGUUGUAUAUUGCAAUACAUUUAUAAUUGAUACAACUGAACCAUGAUGUUUCUAUUAGUAAAAAUUUCUUUGAAUCAAUCCACAGUUCAAAGUACCAAUUUCAAUUGAAACUUUUUUCUUUUCCUGCUUAUUCAAUUGUUUCGUUUUCCACAUAAUGGUAUGACAACAUCAAGAAUACUUCUCAGCAAUUGCCUGCAGGUGAACCCAAAGCUCUUUUGGCUGAGACAUCAUGACCAUGUGAUCAGAUCCUUUAAUCUCUUUAACAGCAUCAGGUGGGUUUUCUUCGAUCAUCCAGAGUUGAAAAUCCUUUUUCGCCAGCUUGUCUUCCUCAGAAAUAAUAAAGACACGUUUAACCGAGGCAUAUUUCUUCGACAACAUGAGAUCCUUUGACAUGUCUUCUUCACUGAACAAGCGUAAGGGUCUCAUCAACAUAGUCCCUAGUGCCAAGUCCUGGAAAAUUUGUGCCCAAAAUGAUAUAACAACAACAAUGAAAAGUCUCAUGAUUUUGGCUGUAAGGCCUGAAUUAAUGAAGUUCUCACCUCAGUUGGGCUCAACUGAUACACAUUCAGUGAUGAGAACAAGGGGCCAAAGGUGAAAGUGGUGGGAGGAUUGUUGGGGCCAUUAUCAUAUGUGAACUGGCUGUCUAGUAGAGGACCUUGUCUCCUGAGUGACUUCAAUAAGAAGUAGAAACCAGGCUAAAAGUCAGAAACAGGGGAAGCCUUCCCCUCUUAAUCAACAAGUAAAUUUCUGUAAAAGAAAAAUAGUAUGUAUGAAGUACCUCUUGAUUGAGAGUGGAAAUGUUGAGAGUGGGACCAGGCAUUGAGGCAGUAACAAAAACAGCUACAGAAACCUUUUCUGGGAACUUCUCCAUGGCCUGAGAAAUGGCCAACCCACCCAAGCUGUGUCCAACGAGAACCACCCUUUCAUCUGCAGGGAGUGACUCCAUGAAGUCCCUCAGUGGCUGGAAAUACUCAGAAAUAGAUCGCAGAUCACCCACUUGUUUUGGGUUAAUUCCAGAAGCAGCCAAGUCCAGAGCAGUGACUUUGUGGCCAGAUGAUUUUAGUAGUGCCACAAUCUUGUACCAAGACCAGGCACCAUGGCAAGACCCAUGAACUAGAACAUAGUGCUUGACGGGAUUAGCCUGUCUCCCCUCUGAUGCCAUUGAAUACACUGAAGAAACAAGAAAAAUCAGAAAGGAAACUAAAAUCGUAUGCUUCUUCCUUUCCUGCGUACUCCUUUCCUGUUACAGAGAUGGUCAGCACCCAAGCAUUUUAAAGGGCACAAUUGGCUUUCACUACAACUACUAAUCUAAUGGAUUAAAAUUUUUCCUGUGAAAUUGACUCUAGAAAUAAAAUAAGGAUUAAGGAUUCAAGAAUAUGUACACAUAGACUGCCAGGGUUUAAAAGAUGACACAUGCACCUGCGUCACACUCUUUUUCAAUGAUAAAGAAGUUAUGCAAAGGAAGAAAGAAUGAAAUAUACAGAGUCUAGUAGUUAACUCCUCCCCUUGAAUUCUUCUGUUGCCCGGAUUGGUUUGUAACUGCAAACAUUUUCUUUUCCCAAUGUGAUCUGUGGAUUGAGUUCUGAUCUCAAUUUGUUUUUGGCAUUUUUGGUUUUGCUUCUGCAAAUCUUGAGAUGUAUCUUUCAAUUAAUAUAAGUAAGUUAUGCAGUAAAGGUUUUUGGACAUAUAAAAUGUUAGCCAAACCUUUCCCAUGGCGGGUUGAAGGUACUUUGGGGUAGGCUUGGUCACGCUUGAUACCUCAAUCGGACUGAAACAUGAUGUUUUCACCCAUUUGAAUUGGUCAAAGCUGUGUUGACUGGCAUGAUUCCUUUAAUAAAGAAGUUGUUUUUGGAUUAAGGCCUACAACACCAAUUUCACUUAAAUACAUCUAUUUAAUAAUUAUGUAUUAACAUAAUUAUAAUCAAUUGAGUCGAAAACAAUUAAAUUAAAAAGUUAAUUAUAUUGACUUAAAUAAAAUCUGACUCAACCAGAUUAUUAAAUAAAUUACUCAACUUAUUACAUGUUUAAUAAUUAAGUCGUAUUUGGGUUUAUACUUUUAACUCAAUUAUUAUUCAUGUUAUAUUUGUGUUGACUUAUUAAGUCACAGUAUCUAAAUUUAAUUUGAUAUGACAUGAACACUACCCACCAACAUUAAUUGUAUCCCCUGUUUUAAGUUCCGGUGGCAUCAUGAGUUUGGCCUCUGUUUUGAGUGUUGAAUUAACCUUUCCCAUGGUUGUCAAGUUCUUCAUAAAUUAUUGGUGAUUGUAAUAAUUUCCUCAUAAAUUAAUGGCGCUAUAUGCUUCUUUAGGAUCCAUUGAUCUUACUAAUUCUCUUCCUGGUAUGGGAAGAAAAUGACUCUUCCAUUAAUGCAGCAUGCAUUGCUACUUAUUUAUCAAGCAAAUUACAUUAUUAUUUUCACACCAAACCUCCAAAUUCAUCAUGUACUUAUCCUAUAUACUACAUGGUGAACUUUAGAGAGCUAAAACAAGCUCUUCUUGAUUAAAGAUAGAUAAUGUCCUAUUGACCUUUUUACUUUGAUGCCUUGAAAUGAGAAAUUUGGAUGUUUUCUACAUCAAGCUUCUUGAAAUUAUUGUGCUUUCUCGUAGUAAAGAAUUUUCCCAAGUUGUGUACUUUGGCUUUUCCCCCUUUGUCAUCUCCUCCAAGGGUUGCACCCAAACACGGUGUUCGGGAUUGAAAAAGAACGGAAUCAAAAACCUUUCCCUCUCUGAAUUCACCAUCACCCUAUGCUCCACACUCUCAUAAGUAUCGUUGCUCCAUACCUGAUUUAAUAUCAAGAUAAUUAGACAAAUGGGUGUGUAAAAUUCCUUGAGCCAAACUGUACUGAUAAGCAAGUACUAAAGACGAUACAGGCUUUGAGAGUUAAAGGUCGUUCUUUCUAUAAAUCAAGGCAAUAAGUAUAUAUACAACAUACAACAUAGUUGCUGUUACAGGCUUACCAAAUUAAUUCCACAAUAAAGGAAACUAUACAUGGUUGGUUACCAAAACAAAAAUAGGAGAUUAGCUAUACAUAUUACUAAAAUAUAGGAUUUGAUAAAGAUUGAAGUGGACUUUCAAAUGAACCAUUUUCCUUAUCAUGACCCCUCAAGAUAGACUUCGAUUGAAUGCCUAGCUUGACGCACAAGUGUUGUAGAUGAGCUAAGGAUUGUGGCUUUGUUAAGGCAUCAACAAGUUGAUCCGCGAAAGCAAAAUGAGGCACGCGAAAAGUGUAAUCUUGAACUCACAAAAUGAAAAUAAAUAGCAAUAUGCUUCAUCCAAAAUGUAAAAUUAGGUUGGCGCAUAAGUAGGUGGUACCGACAUUAUCACAAUAGAUUGGCAUGGGUUUGGGAACUGAAAUACCCAACUCAAGUAAUAGGGAGUUAAGCCAAAGAAGUUUGGAAGAAGUUGUAGCUACAACAUGAUACUCUACCUCAGUUGAGGAACGGGCAACAAAUGUUGCUUCUUUGAACUCCAAGAAAUGACAUUAUGACCUAAAAACACAACAUGAGCACUAGUUAAAGUACGAUCAUCACGAUCACCAAUCCAAUCUACAUCGGAGAAGGCAUGAAGGCUAAGAGGGGAUCCUUUUCGAAGAAACAAACAAUGAUGCGUUGUACCUUUAAGAUAACGGAGAAGAUGUUUGAGUGCCAACCAGUGAGUGGUAGUAAGUCUAUGCAUGAAUUGAGAGAGUUUAUUGAUUGAGAAAGCAAUGUUUGGUUGAGUGAAGAAGAGGUACCGAAGACCACCAACAAUAGAUCGAUACUUAGUCGAAUUGGUCAAGGAUGUGCCAUCCACAAGGCUAGGUAUCUGAGAUGUUGACAUAGGAGUUGUGAAUGACUUGGAAUCCAUCAUUUUUGUGUGCUCCAAAAGAUCUAAAACAUAUUUGUGUUGAGAAAGAAAGAGACCAAAUGAGCUUGGAAUAACUUCAACCCCUAAAAAAUAAGAGGCAACACCUAAAUCUUUAAUGGAGAACCGAGUAGCAAGUGUGUGAACAAAAUGAUUGAGAGUACCAUCAUCAUUGCUAGUAACAAUAAUAUCAUCAACAUACACAAGUAGGAAAAUGGUAAAUAGAGACUUCUUAUGGAUGGACAAUGAAGUGUCAAAUUUGGGGUAGAAACUGCUUCACAAACCCUUGAUGGAGUAGAAACUGCUUCAGUUCUUGAUACAAGGCACAUGGUGCUUGUUUGAGGCUAUAAAUAGCUUUCUUAAGAUGACACACAUGGCUUGGAAACUAAGGAUCAACAAACCUUGGUGGUUGAGCCAUAAACACAUUUUUGGCAAAAGUCCCAUGAAGAAAAAGCAUUGUUCACAUCAAGUUGACAAAGUGACCAAUUGAAGGAAAAUGCAAGACUAAGAAUGAGUAGACCAGUAGUAGGUUUCACAACCGGGCUGAAUGUCUUAGCAUAGUCAAUACCAGGGAGUUGAUGAAAACCCUUGGCGACAAGAGGAGCCUUGUAUUGAGCAAUAGAGCCAUCAGGAUUGCGUUUGAUUCGGAAAAUCCAUUUGCAACCAACUAGAUUCUGUGACUUAGUAGAAGGAUUCAACUCCCAUGUGCCAUUAUGAAGAAGAGCAUCAAAUUCUUCAAACAUAGCUUAACACCACUCAAGAAGCUUUAAAGUUUGGGUAACAUAGGCAGGUGCAACAUCAGGAGUGGUAGAGACAAAAGCAUACUUGGUGGAUGGUUUGAAGACAUUAUUCUUGGAUCUUGUAACCAUGGGAUGGGUGUUGAGGGUAGGGGGUCGAGUGGGUGGGAUGGGGGAAGGGGUAGGAUGUGGGGUUGAAAGCAAGAUUGGGCUUGGAGGGAAACUAUGUUGGGAUUGUGUAGUCUCAGCAUUGGGGGGUAAUAUAAUUGACUGGCCAGCAAGAGUGGUAUCAUGAAUGGUCGAAUGCUUAACUGGAGUGGUACCUAAGAUUGUAUUGUCCUGUGAUGAGGGAAUUGAUACGAGAGGGAAUGGAAUAGAUGGGACUAUGGUGGGUGGAGGUUUCUCGGCAGUUGAAGAAAAGAGGACCAUUAUCUCAACAAAGGUGACAUGAUGAGAGGUGAAUAACUUGUGGGAAACUCGAUCAAGGCAAAGGUAUGCACUUUGUGUAAGAGAGUAACCUAAGAAGACACAUGGACGAGAUUUGGAUUGAAGUUUGUGGUCAUUAUAUGGGAGUAACUAAGGAUAACAAAGACAACCAAACAUUCAUAAUUUGUCAAGAAUUAGGUUUGUGAUUGAAUAAUUUCUCAUAGGAAGAGAGGAAUGAGAGGUUUGGUUUAAGCAUUCGAUUAAUAAGAUAGACUAUAGCUUAAAAGGCAAAGGGCCAAAAAGAAGUAGGAAUGGAUGCAUGAUGGAAAAGGAUGAGUCUGGUUUUGACAAUGUGUCUAUGAUGACGUUUGGAGUAACCAUUAUGCUUAGGAGUAUGAGGUGGGGUGGUGAGAUGAGUAAUGCUAGCAAGAGCAAAAUAAUCUUUUAACGCUAGAAAUUCACCACUAUUGUCAUAAUAGAUUUGAAUUAUUUUGGAACUGAAGUAGUUUUCAACUAGAGCUUUAAAUCGAACAAAAACAUCAUAGACAUUAGAUUUCUUUUGAAGUGGAUAUAACCAGACAUAUUUGGUGAAGUGAUCGACAAAGAUAACAUAGUAUUUAAAGUUAUCAUUUGAUACAAUGGGAGAACUCCAAACAUUUGAGUAAAUAGUUUGUAAAUGAGAUGAACUUGUAAUAGAUGAUGUAGAGAAAGGUAGUUUAUGACUUUUAUUGCACUUACAAGAAUUACAAGCAAAAGUAGAAAUAUCAUUAGAUGAUAAAGAAUGACUCUUAGAGGAAACUAAAUAUUGAAGAACUUUGGAAGAGGGAUGACCAAGUCGAUGAUGCCAAUUUGGAAGUGAAGUCUUAACAUUGGAAAAUACAAUCAAAGGUUUUUUCGUAGUAGGAGAAUUCAACCAUACAUAAAAACCACCACUAUAGAAUAUAGAAUAUAAUUUUAUAUUUAAUUAAUUUUGCAUUUAAAUAAUAUAUGAUAAAGAUAUUACUUUUAUAUUUAAAUAAUAUAAGAUGGUAAUGAGAUAAAAAUGAAUGUUUUUAUGGUUAUAGGAAUAAAGAAAAAUAAAAUAAAAAAGAUUUCAAUUACUUAAUUAAUAGUAAUCCUAAUUUAAUUUCAAUUAAUAUUAAUCUUAUUUAUAUCUUUCCUUUCUUGAAUAUACCAUAAAAAGAUUUAAGUAGUAAAUAAAUACAUGGGUAGAAGGAUACAUCCAGUCAUGAGGUGUACCUAUAUAUUAAUUUUAUAUUUAAAUAUUAUAGAAUAUAAUUUUAUAUUUAAUUAAUUUUGCAUUUAAAUAAUAUAUGAUAAAGAUAUUAGUUUUAUAUUUAAAUAAUAUAAGAUGGUAAUAAGAUAAAAAUGAAUGUUUUAUGGUUAUAGGAAUAAAGAAAAAUAAAAUAAAAAAGAUUUCAAUUACUAAAUCAAUAGUAAUCCUAAUUUAAUUCCAAUUAAUAUUAAUAUUAUUUAUAUCUUUCCUUUCUUGAAUAUACCAUAAAAAGAUUUAAGUAGUAAUCUGGGAUAGAUAUUAAUUUUAUAUUUAAGAAAUAUAGGAUAUAAUGUAGAGAAUAGAGAUACACAAACAUAUUUUAUAUUUAAGUAGUAAUCUUCAUGAGCUUUACACAAACAAAAAACUUAGAUGUUUACAUCAUCUAGAAGCCCCACUUCGCCUCUCUCUCAGCCCUCAGCCCUCAGGCUUAAGAAGUUGUCAUGAGAAACCUAACACAAACCUUUCUUAUAAUUAUUGUUCAUAGUCGUAGCUACCAAGAAUUCCAAGUUAGGAAGAAAAAAAGAAUCAUAAAUACAGCAAAAAUAACUUCCACUACAUGCGGCAGCAGGGGUACCAAAUUAGGGAAAUUAAGAAGUAAACCAUGCCCAAUCAAUUGCUGGGAAAUAUUAUUUGGAUAUCAAAUUAGGGAAGCUAUUAAGUGUGGUUUUUGUAGUGUUAAAUCAGAGAGAAAUUUAAUUAUAUUAUGAAUUUCAAAUUUAAUUAUUCUAAGAACAAUGAAUUACUCUAAUAGAAUUUAAUGUAUAAAAACAUUUCAAACACUCGCAACAUAUAUCAUUUUCAUUUUUUCCAAAAGCACCAAAACCCUAUAACAAUGAAAAUAAACCCAAUAACAAUGGAAAUAAACCAAAUAACAAUGGAAUCUCAAACCUAAUCACAAACAUUUCCAAAAUACCAACUAACAAAACCCAAAAAAAAAAAAAAAUUCCCAAAACUCACCAAAACCUAGAGAGAUGAUUUUCACGGGAGUUUCUUGGAGGUGGCUUCAGCUUUACCGACCAUAGCUUCCAUGGGGCUUCUUCAGCAUGGCUUCCAUAAGCUUUUUUUGACAAUAGCUUCCUCCAAGCAAUGGGGGUUGUGGGUAGGUUUUGUGGGUUUUAUGGCCGUGGGUUUUGGAGAGGAAGAGAAAAUGGGUUGGCAGGAGAGAGAAAGAAAGGCUUUAUAUUCGAUUAGGAAAGUGAUGUGGCCGUGGGGUAUACCCACAUGGUUAAAAGAAAGACAUUUUUCCAUUAGAAAAAAAUGUCUCAUGGCUUUUUUUAUUGUUAUUGUUAUACCCAAAAAAAAUAAUUUAAUUUUAUUGUUAUACCCUAAAAUUUUUUUAUUGUUAUUGUUAUUGUUCUGUGUUCAGAACUAUUAAUUUAAAAAGUUUUUCAAGUUUUAAAAUUAUCAAAUUUUUAAAAUUUACAAUUAUUUUAAAAUUUUAAAUUUACAAUUAUUUUUAAAAUUUUAAAUUUAAAUUAAUUUUGAAAGUUCAAUGUUUUACUCAAAGUGUUAUUCUAAAAUUUUUAUUAAGUUUUAUCAAGUUUUUUAAGUUUUAAAAUUAUCAAGUUUAAAAUUUAAAAAUUUUAUAUAAAUACAAAGAAUAAUUAAAAAUAAAAUAUAACAUAUAAAUGUUAUUUUUUAAAACAUAUUUAAAAACAUAAAAAAUAUAUAUUAAGAAUAUUUUAGGUUUCUAAAUCAACUUUUAUUUUAAAAUACAUCGGCAAAAAAAUUUUUAAAAAUGUUUUAAAAAACCGUUUUUUGUAUAAUUGUUUAUGAAAAUGUCAAAAUACUUCACAAAUAAACCAGUUCGAGUCCCCUCAGGGCCUCGUGGGAUUAGUCGAGAUGUGCUUAAGCUGGUCCGGACAUCCACGGUUAUAAAUAAAAAAUAAAAAUAAAAAAAUAAAAAAUACUUCACAAAUAAAACUAUAAUUUAUUGGUAUUUUUGUGGGCCUUAGGUGUUAGGAAAUGUUAUAUGUGCAUCCUACUCCUACUCUGUCUUCAUUAUUUUCAGUCCCUUUAUAUCUUAUACCAAUCUACUAUUAUUUUAUCAUAUGGUAUCAGUUUUUCAUAUUUGAUGAUAUUAAUUUCUACCUUAUCCCAUAUGCUUGUAGCUUAAUUUCAUUAUACAUUUGGACAACAGAAUUUCAGACUUCCAUUUGGUACUAAAUAUAAUAAACAUAAACAGAGAAUGAUGCAUUUAAGAAUAUUUUUCCAUGAAUUUUAACUUUAUAAAUUUGUUAAUUUUACAAAUUUAAGAAUUAUAAAAGUUUAGAACUUUUAUUUUUAAUCAUAAACAGAGGAUGUUAUUUUUGUAGUUAUAAAUUGUUUUUGUAUUGCAAAAAUCAUAAAGAUUAAAUAAUAUUUUAUGAUUGAAAAUUAAAUAAAACUAUAAACAAUUUUACUAGUAAUUGUUCAUAGUAAAAUUUAGUUAUCAUGACUAUUGAUACUUUAAAUAUAAUAAGAAUUAUUUAUCAUAUAUAAAAUCAAAAUUGUUUUUUAAUUUGCUAACUCACUUGCAUUUAAACUUUUUAUCAAAUAAUAUCAAAUUGAACCAUCAUAUUUUUAAACUAAUUUAUUAAACUUUAUUUUGCUUCUUAUUAAAACAUUAAUUAUAACAAGGAAAUUAAAUAAUUUUAACUAAAGAAAAAUAGGUAACACACUAAUUUGUUUCUUAACUUAAAAAAAAAUAGUAAUAUAACUUUAAACUUUUUAUAAUUAAUAAGAACUAUUAUUAUUACUAUUAAUGAUAAUUUCUAUUUAUGAUAUAUAUAUAUAUAUAUAUAUAAGAUUUUCUAAAAAAUUAUAAUAGGUAACCCAAAAAUUGUUUAAAAUAAAUAAUAGACUUUGGUCACGAUUGUGUGAACCCCGUGGCCAUAGGUUCAAAAUAUUUAAAAAAAACUCUAUGCAUUGGUAAUGGUCAAGCGAAAUUUGUAACUACAGGUUCUUAUACAGUCACGGUCAAUCAAUGGCGUGACUAAAAGUCACGGUCAAUCAAUCACGUCACUCAAAGUCACAAAAUAUCUAUUUAGUGACGGUUUCACAAAAACCUGUGACUAAAACAUCUUUUUCAUUACACUUUUUGUCACGGAUGAUAAAAUAACCGUGACUAAAGUUAUUGGCGCCAAAAUUUCCCUCCAUAAAUUUACAAAUAGUCACAGUUUUAAAUAAAUCCGUGACUAAAAUACCUCUUAUUAAUCCUUUUGGUGACGGUUGAUAAAAUCACCGUGACUAAACAUGUUUUUUUUUUUUUCCAAAUUUGAUUUAACACAUAUAGUCACAACCUUACCCAAUAAUAUCUUUGGUGGGCCGUGACUAAAGAUUCGUCAUUAAAAAUCUAUUUUUUUGUAGUGCUAGUUGGUCCAUGCAAAAUUCUUGCCCCCGUACAUAGACCAUUCACAUAAAAACAAGUGGGUAAGAAUUCAAUGAAAACAUUAUUUGUUAAGCAAAAUUGGGAAAUUGAAAUCAAGUUCUUUUUCAUGGUGAGAACACAAGGGAUAUUAUUAAGUUGAAGUAGCUUUAAUGCAGUUGGGAGGGUGGUGGAUCCUGUGUGUGUGAUUUCUAGACCUUUACCAUCACCAAUAAUUAUGUCGUCUGGGCCAGCAUAGUCGGAAUGCAAAGAUAGAUUCUGAAGAUCAUUAGAUAUGUGGUGUGAGGCACCAAAAUCCAAGACCCAAUUUGGAGAGACAACAGUUGGUUGAGUUGUCGCAUGUGUUUGUGCAGAAGAGGGGCGGUAACUGUAAUUGGGUGGAACACCAUGAUGUUGACUGGCAAUAUAUCGAAAUGAUGGACAUCUUUUCGCUGAGUGUCCUUGAACACCACACAAUUGACAAGUCCCCUUAUAUGGAUGAGGGGUGUGAUUCGAAGUAUUCGAGGUAGUCAUUGGUUGAGGUUGUUUGGAUGUACGGUAUUGAGACGAAGAGUAAGGCUGUUGAUUGAAGAAUCGAUGCGAUUGUGGUUGUUUGGUAGCAGCAUUGGUGGAAGCAGGCAAUGAGACAUUCCAAGAAGAAUACUUGGCAGAUUCUCAUAAAGUUUGAGCCUCAAGAGGAAGCAAUUUCUCAUAAAGUUCCUCAAAGGAAAAACAGUUUCAUGGGCAUGGAUGGUUGAGUGUAAAUCUUUGUACAUCUCAGGCAAACCAUGAAAUAUUUGAAUAAUGAAGUCCUCAGGGUCUAUGGUGACGUUCAUGAGAUAGAGAACAUCAACGCAAAUUUUAACAAAUUGCAUAUACUGUGUUAUGGACUGAGUGCCUUUGGACAAGUUGUCGAGUUGAGUCCGAUAAUGAAUUAUUCGGCUUCGAGAUGCUUUAGCAUAGGUGUUGUGAAGUGUAGACCAAGCCUCAAGGGAGGUUGUGGCUGAUGCAAUGAAUGAGAAAAUUGUUGGACUAAGUGAUGAAACAAUAGCAUUAAGAAGAUGGUCUUGACGAAUCCAAUGGGUGUAAGCUGGGUUUGGGGUUGUAGUACCCUUUUCAGAAGUAAGAGUGCUAGAAGGACAUGGUAAAGUGCCAUUGACAUAUCCCAGUAAAUCAUAACCGACUAGGAGAGUGUAAAAUUGGAGUCUCCAUGCAGAAAAAUUGUGUUGAGUGAGUUUGAUGGGGGUUUGGGAAGAGGCGUUUAUGGCUAUGAGGUUUUGAGUAGUGUAUAUAGAGAUGUUGGCAGCAGUGUCGAUGGAGGAAACAAUUGAGGGGGAAGGGCUAGAGCCUUCGUUGGUUUAUGGGUUUGGUGAGGCAUGAGAAUCAACUAUGUGAGCUAUGGUUGCUCUGAUACCAUAAAGACGAUACAGGCUUUGAGAGUUAAAGAUUGUUCUUUCUAUAGAUCAAGGCAAGAAGUAUAUAUAUAGUAUACAACCUAGCGUUACAGACUUACCAAAUUAACUCCACAAUAAAGGGAACUAUACAUGGUUGGUUACCAAAACAAAUAUAGGAGAUUAGCUGUACAUAUUACUGAAAUAUAGAGACGAUCACGGAGGAUUUGAUAGAGAUUGAAGUUGACUUUCAAACGAACCAUUUUCCUUAUCAGGUACUAAUUCAAAGUUCUUGGGUGGUACUUGAAUUAUAUCCCCAACAUUGAUGAUAUAUGCAUCUAGGGUGGGCUUAACUCGAAUCCAUUCUCCAUCAGUUUUUUGCUUUACUUCCAACCCUCUGACAUCAUCCUGGGCAAGGAUGGUUAAGGCUUCGGCAUCCUUUUGGCAACGAACACCCAGAGCUAGGUGAGGGAUGGGGCAUGGUGGGUAGUGAUUGAGGCGGAUGAAGGUAGUUGAUUCUUCAAAGAAAAGAUUGAAUCUGUUUUCCGGCAAACCUAAGCUCAGAGAGAUGAGUCCCAACAUCUUGAAAGCUAGUUUUUCCAUUUCUCUAGCAUAUUCUUCACAUACCUCCCUGUAUAAAUUGGUUCAAUUAGAACCAAAAAACCAAGUAAAUCAUUGAAGUGACUCUGCCUUAGCUGGUGGAAUUUGUACCUUAAUUCAGGAGAGUACUGAGGCCACUGAUUGAUCAACUCUUUGAGCUCCUUGUCGUCAGGAUCAGGCGAAGCAGGGAUGAAGGCGGGGGAUGACACCACGAAAUCAAAGACUUCCUUCCAGUCCCUAACGUUCUUGGUAUGCUCAGUAUCAAAAUACCACAAAGGAUUCACCCCAUCUCUACUCACCUUCCUCUUCUCCUACAAUGGCAGAGCGAAGAACUUCCUCGCCGCAUCCUCAAUUUUCCGGCGAGACUCCGAGGGCAUCCCAUGGUUGAUGACUUGAAAGAAGCCUCGAUUCUUGGAUGCAUCAGCUAUUUGAGAAACAUGGUUAGAGGCAUUGGCGGAAGAGAGAUCAAUGAGUGGGAUGCCUUCAGCUUCGAUAACAACGAGCUUAGGCCCAUGUUGGGUGUCUUGGAUGAAGGCUGGAUCGACCUCUCCCAUGGCUGUGGUAGUGAUUAGAACCUAGAAAUGGUGGUUAUGCACUGGUAGCUGCAGGUUGAGAUUGUGAAGGGGACUUGGGCCACUUGGCAGGUGAUUUUUGUAGUGUAGUGGGGUUGGUUUGGUUCAUUGAACCUUGACAUAAUGACAUAAAUGGGAUACGUUUUAUAAGUUCAAGGAAUCAUGGUAUUUGGAAAAUAUGAAUGAGUUGAAAAUUUUAAAAAAUAGGUUUAUAGGAGUAUAUUUUAAGGAAAAUAAUUUUCAAAUCAUAUCAUGUAUAGGAUAGUGACUUUGUACAUGUUUGAGGGGAAUCAUGUCAAAGUGCACUAUUUGAAAAACAUGGCUAAAUUGUAAACUUAAAAAAGUGGUUUCAUGGAGAGUACAUUAUGAGAAAAAUAAUUUCCAAAUCAUGUACUAAAAUAAUAACUGUAUCCAUGCUUCCAAAACUACUAUUCAACAUAUUUUCAUCAUGUCACAUUUUCCUAUGACGUCAUUGCCCUCAUUUCUUAGAAGAAAAACCCUUUCUGUUCUACUUUACUUUACACUGUUUGUUCCUAUAACCCUUUCCUUUUUUUAAUUUUAAUUUUUUUAAAAAAAUAUUUCUCAUCUAUUUUCUCGAUUUUUAAAAUUCUAUUUAAUUAAAAAAAUUAGAAUUUUUUUUAAAGUACAAUUCAUUUAUUUAUUUUUUCAUUUUAUUUAAAUGUGAUGUAUAAUUAAUACAUUAACAUAAAUUAGUUUUUAAUAUAAAAAUAUAUUCAUCUAUAAUAAUUAAAAAUCUAAUAAAUAAAUAAAUAAAUAAAUAUUAGUAUUUUAAAUAAUAUUGAUUUCGUAUAUACAAUAUUUUAUUUUGUUUCAUUAUUAUAGAUCUCAUUUUCUAUAUUUUUUAUUUCUAAUUUUUCUUAUAGAAUUUUAAACCUAGAUUUUUUAAAAAUGAAAUUUAAAAAAACACUAGAAAUUAAAGUUUUUGUUUUCUUCAAAAUAAAAACAAAAAAAAAAUAAUAUACAAAAAAAAAAUAUUAGUUUACCUUUAAUUUCAUUCAACAAAAAAUUAGUAAUGAUAAUUUUUUAAGAGUAUUUAAUUUUAAAAGUAAUAUUUGAAGAUAGGUAAAAUAAAAAUUUUAAAAGUGUUUGUAUUAAAAUUUUGAAUAUAAAUUCACAACUCCCAUCAUAAUACAUUGAUAUUUAAAAUAAAAAAAACCCCUAAUGAUUUUUUUUUAUUAUAUUAAACAUGUAAAAAAAGUACAUUUUUGUUUAAUUAAAAAUUUAAACCAUUAAAAUUGUUUUUUUCUUUAAUAAAUAAUGUUUUUAAAGAGUACAUUAUACCUAUUUUUUUGGGCAUGUUAUUUAAUAAUUGCUACCAAAGUCAUAACAAUGACAAUAAAAAACUAAAUAUAAUAGUGCAUAUUUGCUAUCUAUAGUGGUACUUUUAGUUACUAACAUUAUUAUUUUUAAGUAAAAAUAAUGUUAUUAUUUCCUGACAUAUUUGAUGUAGAGGUUGAAGUGAUGACAGUGCUAAAUAAGUUAGUACAUCCUAUUAUCUACAGUGAUAUUUUUAGUUACUAUUAUUAUUAUUUUUAGGUAAAGACAAUGUUACUAUCUCUAGUGAUACAUUUGAUGUAUGGAUUGGAGUGGUGAUAGAUGAUGUAACAACUGUGUAUAUGGGGUCAAUCAAGUGUAAUUGUCCUCUUAUUUGUAUAGAUCGCAACCCACCUCCGACAGUGGUUGAAAAGUAGUCUUGGAAGCAUAUCACCAAAGGGACAUUUUGAAUAAUAAUUUGGGAAAAAGCGUUCAUCAGACAUAGCCUAAAAAGUAUAUCCCAACAUUGCUGUUUAUUUAUCAAGCAAAUUACAUUAUUAUUGUCACACCAAACCUCCAAAUUCAACAUGUACUUAGCCUAUAUACUGGAUGGUGAACGGGCUAAAACAAGCUCUUACUGAUUACAGAUAGAUACUGUCCUACUGACACUUUUACUCUGAUACCUUGAAAUGAGAAAUUUGGAGGUUUUCCACAUCAAGCUUCUUGAAAUUGCUGCGCCUUCUCGCAGAAAAGAACUUUCCCCAGUUGUAUGCUCUGUAAUUUUGCUUUUCCCCCUUCGUCAGCUCCUCCAAGGGCUUCACCCAAACAUGCUGCCCGGGAUUGAAAGAGAACGGAAUCGAAAACCUUUCCCUCUCUGAAUUCACAGUCACCCUGUGCUCCACACUUUCAUAAGUAUCAUUGCUCCAGGCCUGGUUUAAUAUCAGUAUAAUUAGCCAAAUGGGUGUAACUGAGCCAAACAGUACUGAUAAGCAUGUACUUAUAAUUCGAAGUUCUUGGGUGGUACCUGAAUUAUAUCCCCAACAUUGAUGAUAUAAGCAUCUGGGGUGGGCUUAACUCGAAUCCAUUCUCCAUCGGUUUUUCGCUUUACUUCCAACCCUCCGACAUCAUCCUGAGCAAGGAUGGUUAAGGCUCCGCCAUCCUUGUGGCGACCAACGCCCAGAGCUAGGUGAGGGAUGGGGCAAGGUGGGUAGUGUUUGAGGCGGAUGAAGUUCGUUGAUUCUUCAAAGAAAAGAUUGAAUCUGUUUUCCGGCAAACCUAAACUCAACGAGAUGAGUCCCAAUAGCUUGAAAGCUAAUUUUUCCAUUUCUCUAGCAUACUCUUCACAUACCUCCCUAUAUAAAUCAGUUCAAUUAGAACAAAAAAGAUAAGUAAUUCACUGUAGUUAUUGUGCCUUAGCUGGUGAAAUUUGUACCUUAAUUCAGGAGGGUACUGAGGCCACUGAUUGGUCAGCUCUUUGAGCUCCUUGUCGUCAGGAUCAGGCGAAACAGGGAUCACGGUGGGGGUUGACACCACGAAAUCAAAGACUUCCUUCCAGUCCCUAACGUUCUUGGUAAGCUCCGAAUCAAAAUACCCCAAAGGAUUCACCUCAUCUCUACUCACCUUCCUCUUCUCCUCCAAUGGCAGAGCGAAGAAUUUCCUCGCCGCACCCUCAAUUUUCCGGCGAGACUCCGAGGGCACCCCAUGGUUGAUGACUUGAAAGAAGCCCCAAUUCUUGGAUGCGUCAGCUAUUUGAGAAACAUGGUUGGAAGCAUUGGCGGAAGAGAGAUCAAUGAGGGGGAUGCCUUCAGCUUCGAUAACAGCGAGCUUAGGCCUAUGUUGGGUGUCUUGGAUGAAGGCUGGAUCGACCUCUCCCAUGGCUGUGGUAGUGGUUGGAAGUUAGAAAUGGGGGUUAAGCACUGGUGGCAGCAGGUGUAGAUGGUGACGGGAAAUUGGGCCACACGGCAGGUGGUUUUUGUAGUGUGGUGGGGUUGGUUUAGUACAUUGAACCUGGGCAUAAUUUGGGUUACUUUUUAAGGUUUGGUUGAGGGUGUGACCUCAUGGAUUGCGCAUAUAUUAAUGAUAAUUGGUCAAGUGAUACUGCAGUCCCAAAGGGAAUCUCUCUCAAUGAUUUUGCCGACAGCUCCCUCCACAUUAAAAUGUUUCAUCCGUAUUUGAAUUGGAGUCUAAUGCUCUGAUCAAAGAUACCUUUCGCUUAGUCGAUCAGUGUUUGAUUACUAAAUAAGAUGGUGUCACAAAUAUUUUUGAAUUCUAGGUCAAAGUUAACGAGUGCAAAGGUUAUCAAUUUGAUAAGAUAAAUUGUUUAGAAACACUUUUAAAAAUGAUUCUUGAAAAAAUAUUUUUUUAAGUUUAAAAACCAUUUUUAAAUUUAGAAUAAAGGUUUAUUUAAAAACUUAUAUUAUUAUAAACUUAUUUUUUAUAUUUUUAAAAAAUAAUUUUUAUAUAUAAUAUUUUAUUUUCAAUCAUUUUUUACAUUUUUUUUAAAAAGGUAAAACUACUAAAAAAAAUACUUAAAAUAAGUUAUCAACAAAUGUCUUAUUGUCAUGACAAUUUUCAAAAACAUGUUUUAGAAACAAUUGAAAAUCAAAGUAUUUUCAUAUUCCUUUAUUCCCAAAAACAAAAAAUUAUUCUUGGUAACGGUUCCAAAUGUAUCCUUCAUUUGUUUAUCUUAUUAUAUAAGUUUUAAAAUAAAAUACAAAAAAUAAUUUUCAAUGAUAAUUUGUUACGGUUUUAUCCAAAAUUUUUAUAUUUUUAAUCAAUUAAUUUAUUGAUACGUAUAUUUCUCAUGAGACCUUUUUCUCACUAAAAACAUUACUUUUUUAUAAGACAUUUUUAAUAAAUUAAUUUUGAUACGUAGAUUAAAAAUGUCUUAUAACAAUAUAAAUUAAUUAAAUCAUUAGUUGGCCAUUUGGUCUCAUGCUUACACAACGACUUCUCUCAUGGCUGCCUAACAUGAAUGAACAACUCUCUACAACAAGUAAGGUACACUUAAUUAAAAAAUUAUUUAAUUUAAAGAUGUUCGAGAAUGAGAAUUUCAAGUAGCACUUGAAUGAAUUUAAUGAGACCACAAAUUAAUUAAAUUCGAUGGUUAUUAAAUUUGAUGAUAAGAUUCAAGCCUUAUUAAUCCUCGGUUAAUUGCUUGAGAGUUGGAAAGACACAAUCACCUCAAUCAAUAGUUCAUCCAAAAAAUCAAAAUUGGUGUUUUCGAAUGUAGUAGACAUGAUUAUAACCGAGGAGAUCAAGAAGCAUGAAGAAGGUUUUUCAAAUUCAUGAUCAACAUUAAAUAUGGAGAGCAAAGCUAGAAAUCAUAAUAAAGGUAAUAGGCGUGAUAAAUCCAAAUCGAGGAAUGAUAGGUUGAAAUACAAAAAUUCCAUAAAUUCCUAACAUCAGACGAGUAAGAACAAUAUCAAAUGUUGGAAUUGUGAUUGGAGCUAAAAUAUGUGCUCAAAUGACAUAUAUUUGAUAUGAUUUAUAUAUCAUAAGACACUCAAAUCAUCUGACUCUACCCAAAUUGAUACUAAGGUCCUAGCCAUGAGUUUAACUUGUAUUUUGGAGAUUUAUCUCAGGUUUAAGAAAAGAAAAUGGUGUAAGGUGAAUCAAUUUAGAUUUUGAAAGAAUAAGAAGGGGUUAAAUGAGAAAAUGAACAAGUCAAGACUCAUGAAAUAUGAAGAAAGGAAAGACGAGGAUAUCGUGAGUUUGGGAGAUGAGGAAUGACCAUUAUCAUGAAGUAAGAAAUAAGGCAUACAAACAUAGAAAAUGAGGCAUGAAACAAAAUUCAUCAAGUUUGCAUGGAAAUUUGGGACUCAAAAUCUGGUAAUAACAUAUACUCUGACUUUAAAAUGAAAUUUGGAGCAUUUCCCAAAGUCCAUUUUAGGCAAGCUAUAUAUUGUUUUGAAGCAUGGGAAGUUAGGAAUUCAAAGCUUCAAACAAUGUCCAAAUUAGAGCUAAAUAAGGAAGUUAUGCACAUUUAAAGCAAACUAGUUAGAGAGAAAAACUGAGUUCGAAAUUGGUCACUUGGAUUUGAAAUGGUUUUUGUCCAUUUAAAACUCAAAGAAAUGAAAGAAAACUUUUGGCAUUGGCUAAGUUUGAAUCUCUUUACCUAUUUCAAACAAGAGGCAUACAUUUCAAAGUCAAAUGAACAUACAUGGGCAGUGAGUGAGUUCAAAAUUCACUAUGAAUUUUGAACUCACCUUGUUGAUUUCAAAUUGGACCAUUUAUUUCCCACUUAUGAGUUCAAAAUUGAUUUGAACUCACCCAAAUUUCGAACUCAACCAUUAGUGACCGAUUUUAGGCUCUGAGACAUGUCAAAACGAGUUUCAAAUGCCUUUAUCCAAUUCAAAACGCAUCAUACUCAUUUAGAACUCGUAAUUUUUGGGGUUUUUUUUAAAGGUUAUUUAUGACUUUUCGUUACAAUAAGUGGCCAAUGAGAGUGUACCACAUGUUAGGUCAUUGAAGUUACUAUAAAAACUCUUUUAGUUAUAGUGUUUAGGUGAUCUUCCAAGAGUUAGACAUUUCGUGGGGAAGAAUACGAGAACUUUUGGUUUAUUUAUUUUCUUCUUUAUUGAAUGUAUUGUUUUUAGUUUCCUUUAUUUCAAAUUAUGAAUUUUUACUUUAUUAUGGAUUGUGAAUGUGACAUUACCCCCAUGAGAGGAUAAAAAGCUAACUUGGGGCUUAAACAUAAAAACUAACGGUUAGAAAACUUAUAGGGACAUUAGGUAAAUUAUUAUAACAAUAAGAUUAAUUAAUGGUUGAGUUACAAUUUAUUAAUUUUUUAUCCUAUCAUUGUGAGUUAGUUUAGAGAAUAAUAUAGUAGGUGAUUAUUCGAUACUAGUGAUUCUUGGUAACUCUUGAUCAUUAGUAAUCCUGAUUUUUCUUAUAGUUAUCUGCCCCAAAACGAAGUUAGAAGGAGUAGGAAAUGUUAAAAAGCCAAACCUUAAAUUGAUAAUAAUUUCAUUCAUUUGAUGUGUUGACAAAUCAGAGGGUUGGCUGCAUCCAUCAACUCUCUUUGUGUUCGCCGUGAGCACUUGGGUGAAUGCACUAUAAGGUUAGAGUAUGCACAUUUCUUAACAGCAAUUGCUUUUAGGAGAAUUGGUAGUGCCUGAGGUCCUACAUGAUAGUUUUAAGAACUUGUUUUAAAAAGAAAAAUUAAGUUUUAGAUGUACUUUUGAGUUAUAGGGCUCAAGUUGAUUGCAAGCGGCCAAGAAUCCCAAAACCCUAAGAUCACUCUAGUUAAGAAACCUUUGUUAUCUCUAUUUCUAUACCUUAAGUUAUAUUGUGGAAAACCUCAAACUUAAAUCAAUUAAAUUAAAAAUCAAUAUUCGUUUUGUUAUUAAUUUAGUUUUUUUUUUUUUUUACUUAGUUUCACUUCAUAAAAGUUAAUUCACAUAUUGUUUUUCGCUUUAGGAUUUAAAUAAAAACAAUUCAUUUAUCCUAGUAUUGAAAAAUUCCAUAUGUUAGUCCCUAAGGAUGAUACCCAAAGAAUUACAAAAACCAUAGUGACUAUUUCUCUAGUUUUUUCUUAACCAAAGUUACUAUGUAAAAAGGCUUAGUAUUUUACAUAAGAGAGAAGAUUGAUCAAAUUGUGGAAAGAAGAGACAUUAUAAAAAUGAGUGUAAGGCUGCCAAGAAGGAUAAGGAUGGUGACAACAAGACCAAUGCAAAUGUUGUGUCAAAAGAAUUAGAUGAUGCUCUUAUCUGCUAUUUAGAGAGAACAACAUAAUCGUGGGUAUUAGAUUCAGGGGCAUCGUUCCAUGCUACCUCAAGUGGAGAAUUAUUUGAGAAUUAUGUCUCAGGUAAUCUAGGGAAGAAGUAUCUAGGUGAUGACCAAGCAUGUGUUGUUAUUGGCAUAAGUGAAGUGCAUAUCAAAUAUUUGAAUGGAUUUGUAUGGAAUUUGGACAAUGUGAGGCACAUUUCAAACCUGAGAGAUAAUUUUAUUUCCAUUGGGUAGUUAACAAAAGAUAGUUAUGUGACAACUUUUUUAGGUGACACAUGGAAUAUCUCAAAGGGAGCUAUUUGCCAUGGCAAGAAGAAUGAUACUCUUUACAUGACAAUGAAUGGUUGUGGGUUUAUUACAAUUGUUGAGAGCAAAGAAGAUUCGAAUUUAUGGCAUUAAAGGCUUGGUCACAUGAGCAAUGAGGGGUUGGAAAUUAUACACUCAAAUGGGAAGUUGUCAAGUUUGAAAUAAGUUGACAUUGACAUGUGUGAAAAUUGCAUACUUGGGAAACAAAGAAGGGUUAGCUUUAAGAAAGUUGGAAAAACUCCAAAAGAAGUAAAACUGAAGUUAGUUUAUACAAAUGUUUGGGGACUUGCUUCAAUUUCAUCUAUCGGUAGAAGAUUUUUUUUUGUGACCUUCAUUGAUGAUCAUUUGAGGAAAGUGUGGGUAUACUUUAUGAUACACAAAUGAGAAGUGUUUGAUGUAUUCAAGAGACGGAAAACAAUGGUGGAGAAUAAGACAUGUAUGAGAGUCAAGAAGUUACGGUUUGAUAAUGGUAGGGAGGAUGAAGAAUUUGAGUUCAAGAAGAUCUAUUAUGAAAAUGGAAUUAAAUUAGAGAAGACCGUGCCAAGGACACCUUACCAGAAUGGUAUAGCAUAAUGAAUGAACAAGACAUUGACUGAAAGAGAAAAAAAACGUGUAUACAAGCAAGGUUGUCAAAGGAGUUCUUGGCAAAAGCAAUCAACAAAACAACUUACUUGAUCACAAAAUACUGGAAAAAGUGUGAACUAAAAAAAAGGUAAAGUUUUCUCAUUUGAGGGUAUUUGGUUGUGUAUCAUAUAUAUAUAUAUAUAUGUGUGUGUGUGUGUGUGUGUGUGUGUGUGUGUGUGUGUGUGUGUGUGUAUACAUAUUAGUGAUCAUGACAUAAACAUACUUGAUGCUAAAUCACUAAAAUGUACUUUCUUAGCUAUGGUGUUGAUAAUUUUGGUUAUUAGUUUUGGGAUGACCAGAGUAAGAAAGUGAUUAGAAGUAAGGAUGUCGAUUAGAAGUAAGGAUGUCAUAUUUAAUGAGAAAGUUUUGUAUAUGUAGAGAGAUGCAACACAUUCCAAUAGUCUGGUACAACUUGAACCUAUUUACUUUGAGCCAAAUGAUGUCCCAUUGAAUAACAUGACAAAUAAGACAGGUCAUAAUCAUUAGAUUGAGGAAAAUACUGCAUAAGAUGUUAAUAUAUCACAAGAUCUAGUUUCAAUUCCUACUUUGAGGAGAUCUAACAAGCCACAUGUACCAAAUAGGAAGUAUUUAAAUUAUUUGCUACUAAUAGAUGGAGGUGAACCUAAAUGUUAUGAUGAGGCAUGUCAGAUGGAAGAUAAUAGAAAGUGGGAGCUUACGAUGAAAAAUGAAAUGAAGUCCCUUAUUCUUAACCAGACUUGGAAGCUAGUCGAGUUACCAAUGGGUAAGAAAGUUUUUCAUAAUAAGUGGGUGUAUUAAAUUAAGUAGGAGCAUGGUGGUUCUAAGAGAUAUAAGGCUAGAUUGGUGGUCAAAGGGUUUCAAUAGAAGAAAAAUGAUUGACUAUACAUACAUUUUCUCUCUAGUUGUGAAACUAACUAUUAUUCAAUAUGUUUUGAGUAUUGUAGCAAUAAAGAGUUUACAUAUAGAACGGUUAGAUGUGAAGAUAGCUUUCCUCUAUGGUGAUUUUGAUGGGGAAAUUAGUAUAUAUGCAACAACUAGAGGGUUUUGUAGUGAAGGGUAAAGAGAAUCUGGUGUGCAAAUUAACUAACAGUCUGUAUGAUUUAAAACAAGCCCCAAGACAAUGGUAUAGAAUAUUUGGUAGUUUCAUGCAAAAGAAUAGGCAUCUCAAGUGCAAUGCAGACCAUUGUUGUUACUUUAAGAGAGUUGGUUCUAUCUAUAUUAUUUUGUUACUUUAUGUUGAUGGCAUGUUAGUAGUUGACGCAAAUCUAGAUGAAAUUAACAAGUUGAAGAAAUAGUUGUCUAGUGAAUUUGAAAUGAAGGACUUGGGAGCAACAAAGUAGGUACUUGGGAUGAAGAUUAGCAAAGACAAAUAAACGAGCAUCUUAUGGUUAUCUUAGGCUAAGUAUAUAUACUCAUAAAGUAUUGCAAAUAUUCGACAUGAGUAAUGUAAGGCAAUUAGAACAUCAUUAGCAAAUCAUUUCAGGUUGUCUAAUUAAGCAUUGCCCAUGGGCAGAUGAGGAAAAAGACUUCAUGGCUAAGGUUUCAUAUGCCUUAGCCAUUGGAAGUUUGAUGUAUGUUAUGAUAUGCACGACACUAGACAUUGCCUAUGCAGUGGAAGUUGUGAGCAAAUUUAUGUCAAAUCUAAGUAAGUAGCAUUAUGAAGUAGUGAAAUGGAUGCUUAGGUACUUACAGGGUACUACAAAAAAAUGUCUAUGUUUCGAAAGGGGUGAGUUAAAAUUGCAAGGAUAUGUGGAUGUUGAUUUUGCCAAUGAGAUAGAUAAUUGGAAAAGUACUACAUGGUAUGUGCUCACUUUGGGUACUAUUGCUAUUAGUUUGAUUUCUCAAUUGUAGAAGAUUGUUAUUUUAUCUACAAUUGAAGUAAAAUAUGUGGCUAUCACAGAAGCUAGAAAAGAAAUGAUUUGGCUAUAGAGUUUGUUAGCAAAGUUAGGAUUCAAAUAAGAUAUGAAUGUUUUGCAUAGUAAUGGCCAAAGUGCAAUACAUUUGGCUAAGUAUUCAACAUUUCAUUCAAGAACUAAUUAUAUUACACUUCAUUAUCACUCCAUCAGGUUUUUGCUUGAAGAUAGGGUGUUAACAUUUGUGAAGAUACAAGGUAGCAAGAAUCCGGUUAACAUGUUAACUAAAAUAGUGAUAAUAGAAAAAUUGGAGUUGUGUGCAACUUCAAUUGGUCAAUAAUGAGAAUAGGUUGUUUGAGUGCACCCUCAUACCCAUUAAUCAUUGAAAGAGAAUGUUUACUUGUGUUUUAGUCUUCAAGUGGAAGAUUGUUGGAUUGUGAAGCUUGAAUCAGUUUUAUUAUGCCCCGAUCAACUUGUAGGGAUUGAAGGGCGCAAUGCUCUAUGGAGAAUUUAUUUAUUUAUUUUUAUGUAAUGAUUGACAGGUUUAAUCUUAUUAUAUAUUUUAACCCUUUUAUGUUUUAAGGUUUUGUUUUUUAAUGUGUAGUUGCAAUUGAGAGGUUUUUUGAGAGCUUUGCUAUUCCACUCCUUCUCAUCCCUUUUAUAGUGAAUUGUUGUAUGUUGGUGUACUCCAUUGAUGUAGGGAUCAAAUUGAUCGUAAAACCAUUUUUUUUUUUUUUUUGUUUCUAUUUAUACAUGAGUGUGUGCGUGAUUUGGUUAACAUCAGUUAUCUUAAUAAUUCUAUUCCUGGAAUAGGAAGAAAAUGAUGAUUCCAUUAAUGUAGCAUGCAUUGCUGCUUAUUUAUCAAGCAAAUUACAUUAUUAUUACACCAAACCUCCAAAUUCACCACGUACGUAUCGUAUAUACCGCAUGAUAAGAUUUAGAGAGGUAAAACAAGCGCUUAUUGUUUACGGAUAGAUAAUGUCCCACCGACCUUUUACUCUGAUACCUUGAAAUGAGAAAUUUGGAGGUUUUCCACACCAAGCUUCUUGAGAUUACCGCGCUUUCUCGUAGCGAAGAACUUUCCCCAGUUGUAUGCUCUAUACUUUGGUUUUUCCCCCUUCGUCAGCUCCUCCAAGGGCUGCACCCAAAGAUGGUGCGCGGGAUUGAAAAAGAACGGAAUCGAGAACCUUUCCCUCUCUGAAUUCAGUAUCACUCUGUGCUCCACACUCUCAUAAGUUUCGUUGCUCCAAACCUGGUUUAAUAUCAGUAUAAUUAGCCAAAUAGGUGCAAAAUUCGGUGAGCGAAAUAACUGAUAAGCAGGUGCUUAUAAUUCAAAGUUCUUGGGUGGUACCUGAAUUAUAUCCCCAACAUUGAUGAUUUAAGCAUCUGGGGUGGGCUUCACUCGAACCCAUUCUCCGUCGGUUUUUCGCUUUACUUCCAACCCUCCGACAUCAUCCUGGGCAAGGAUGGUUAAGGCUCCGGCAUCCUUGUGGUGACCAACGCCCAGAGCUAGGUGAGGGACAGGGCAAGGUGGGUAGUGAUUGAAGCGGACGAAGCUCGUUGAUUCUUCAAAGAAAAGAUUGAAUCUGUUUUCUGGCAAACCUAAGCUCAGAGAGAUGAGUCCCAUCAGCUUGAAAGCUAGUUUUUCCGUUUCUCUCGCAUAUUCUUCACAGACCUCCCUGUAUAAAUCAGUUCAAUUAGAACAAAACAAACUAAGUAAUUUACUGUAGUGACUGUGCCUUAGCUGGUGAAAUUUGUACCUUAAUUCAGGAGGGUACUGAGGCCACCGAUUGGUCAGCUCUAUGAGCUCCUUGUCCUCAGGAUCAUCCGAAGCAGGGCCGAAGGCGGGGGUUCUCACCACGAAAUCAAAGACUUCUUUCCAGUCCCUAACGUUCUUGGUAUGCUCAGUAUCAAAGUACCCAAAAGGAUUCACCUCAUCUCUACUCACCUUCCUCUUCUCCUCCACUGGCAGAGCGAAGAACGUCCUCGCGGCAUCCCAAAUUUUCCGGCGAGACUCCAAGGGCACCCCAUGGUUGAUGACUUGAAAAAAGCCCCAGUUCUUGCAUGCAUCAGCUAUUUGAGAAACAUGAUUGGAAGCAUUGGCGGAAGAGAGAUCAAUGAGGGGGAUGCCUUCAGCUUCGAUAACAGCGAGCUUAGGCCUAUGUUGGGCGUCUUGGAUGAAGGCUGGAUUGACCUCUCCCAUGGCUGUGGUAGUGAUUAGAACUUAGAAAUGGCAAUUAUGCUCUGGUAGCUGCAGGUGAAGAUGGUUACAGGACUUGGGCAACUCGGCAGGUGGUUUUUAUAGCAUAAUAGGGGUGUUGGUUUAAUACCUUGAACCUGGACAUAAUAUGGGUUACGUGUUAAGUUUUAGUUCGGGGUGUGAGCUCAUGGGUUGCGCAUAUGUUAAUGAGAUUUGGUCAAGUGAUACCUAGCUAUUUCCACGGCACCCUCAAUAUUCAAAUAUUUCAUCCGUACUCGAUUUGGAAGGUUGAUUAGUAAAUCUGAUGGUGUAAUGUCUAUUUUUGAAUUCAAUGCUAUAUAUUUAACGGUGAAGAUAAGAAAAAUAGAAGAGUUGAUAACGUUGAAGAAAAAAUGCCAAAGUUUUAAGAAGGUAGAGUUUUGAUGAGAAAUAGGUAAAAUUAAAAUUGCAUUAUAAUAAUAUAAAUUAAUUAAAUCGGUAAUCACCCAUUUAAUCUCAUUCUUAUCCACAAUUGUUGAUAGUUGAUCCUACAAAAUUCUAAAAAAAUCUUCCACAAAGACAAAUCACAAGAUGUUCAAUAACAUAUAUGCUUUUGCACCAAAAAUUGUAUAAGGGAAAAAAAAAUGAUGCACAAAAAAAAAAAAAAAAAAAUUCUAUAUCUAAUAUUAUUUCAUAGGAAAACUAACUAUAAUAAAUUUUAAAAGCAAAGAGCGUUUUACCAUAUCUAAAUAAUAGAUUAUUAAAUUCUUUAUUUUUCAAUUGGAUAUUUUUUUUUAAAUUAGAAACAUCUAUAUAAAAAUAAAAAUCACUUUAAAAAAAUUUUAAAUUUAAGAUAAUAAAUUUUUUAUAAUAUUUUAAUUCUUUUAAAUAAUUUUUAAAAUUAUUAUUUUUUCAAUAUAAAAUUUUAAGAGUUUUUGUAUUUUAUAUAUAAGUUACUAAUAUUCUCUUAUUUUAAACAUAGAAAAUAAAAAAUGUAACCAAAUGAAUUAGAAAAUAAAAAAGUUGAAUAAAAAUAGUCUAACCAUCUUAAACCUAAUAAUGUUUGACAGAAAACACUUAAAUAUACCUUGUAAUUUUCCUCACUGGUCAGCUCCUCCGAAGGCUUCACAUUCACAUGGUGCGCCAGUAAGAAGAAGAAUGGAAUCGAAACCCUUUCCUUCUUGUGUCGACCCACACUGAGAGCGAGCUCCAGCCACGAGCACGAUGGAUGGUGAUUGAGUCGGAUGAAGCAUUAGCCUUCAAAGAAUUCAUUCAACCGAUCCCCCACCAAGCCUAAGCUUAAGGAGAUGAGUUCCAAGAACUUGUAAGCUAAUUUUUCUAUUUCUCUAAUAUAGUUUUUCCAAAUUUUCCUGAAAAUAAAUCAUUAUAUAAAAUAUAUCAAUACUCAAAAUAAAUUUAAUAAAAUCUUGUCUUGCCUUUAUGUCUCUAGUUGAGUCUGUUUGGCUUCAAGCUGUGCAUUUAUGUCUCCGGUUGAGUUUGUUAGGCUUUGAGUCGCACCUUUACACCUCUAGUUGAAUAUGUUCGACUUUGAGCCAUGCCUUUACGUUUUGAGUUGAGUCUAUUCGGCUUUGAGCCACGCCUUUACAUUUUAGUUGAAUCUGUUCGAUUUCAAGCCGUGCAUUUACAUCUAUAAUUGAGUCUAUUCAGCUUCAAAUUGCAUCUUCACAUUUUUUGUUGAAUCUGUUCAGCUUCAAGCCACUCCUUUAUGUCUCUAAUUAAAUUUGUUUGGCUUUAAGUUUCACCUUUAUGCCUUUAAUUGAGUUUGUUCGGCUUUUAGUUGCGCUUUUACGUUUUGAGUUGAGACUAUUUGGCAUCGAGUUGCAACUUUAUGUUUCAAGUUGAAUUUGUUUAGCUUCAAAUCGUGCCUUUACAUCUCUAGUUGAGUUUGUUCGACUUCAAGUCAUGCCUUUAAGUCUCUAGUUGAGUUUUUUUAGCUUUGAGCUGCGCCUCUACAUCUCUAGUUGAAUUUGUUUGGCUUCGUAUCACAUCUUAUGUUUCGAAUUGAGUUUAUUCGACUUCGAGUUGUGCCUUUAUGUUUCUAGUUGAGUCUAUUCAGCUUCAAGCUGCACCUUUACUUUUUGAAUUGAGUUUGUUCGGCUAUGAGCAAUGCUUUUACAUUUCAAGUUAAGUCUGUUUGGCUUUGAGUUAAGCCUUUACGUCUCUAGUUAAGUCUAUUCAACUUCGAGCCGCAUCUUUCAUUUUUGAGUUGAGUGUGUUUGGCUUUGAACCACACCUCUAUGUUUCAAAUUAAGUCUAUUCAUCUUCAAGUCGCACUUUUAUGUCUUUAGUUAAGUUUGUUCAGCUUCGAGCAAUGCCUUUAGGUUUGAAGUUGAGCCUAUUUGACUUCAAGCCACACCUUUACAUCUCUAGUAGAGUUUGUUUGGCUUCAAGCUAUGCCUUUUUGUUUCGAGUUUAGUCUGUUCAGUUUUGAGCCAUGCCCUUACGUUUCAAGUUAAGCCUAUCCGGCUUCAAGUCGCGUCUUUACAUUUUGAGUUAAGACUAUUCGACUUCAAGCUAUGUCUUUACAUCUUUAGUUGAGUUUGUUCAACUUCAAGCUACGCCUUUACGUUUUGAGUUAAGUCUAUUCGGUUUCAAGUUGUGUCUUUAUGUUUUGAGUUGAGUCUGUUUGGCUUUAAGUCACACUUUUACGUUUUGAGUUGAGUCUCUUCAACUUUGAACUACACCUUUAUAUAUCCAGUUGAGUCUGUUCGAAUUUGAGUCACACCUUUGAGUUUUGAGUUUAGUCUGUUCGGCUUUGAGCCACACUUUUACAUCUCUUGUUGAGUCAUAUUUAGCUUCAUUCUACGCCUUUACAUUUCCAAUUGAGUUUAUUUAGCUUUGAGUUGUGCCUAUGUUUUAAAGUUUGUUCAAUUUCGAGCCACAUCUUUAGCCUUAUUAAGUUUGUUCAAGUUUAGUUGUGCCCUCACCCAUAUCCUUAGUUUUAAGUUUAUUCAGCUUCAAGCCAUGCGUUUGUCCUUGUUAAGUAAGUUCGGCUUCGAGCCACGUCUUAGUUUUGAAGUUGUUUAUCCUUGAGCCACACCUUCCUUUCUUUUUUAGUUCACUUAGGGUUUUCUCCUUCCUCGAGUUUAUUAGUGCAUUCGAGUUCAUUUUUCUUUAAGUUGAUCACUCUUUAUCUUUGUUGUCCUUGAAUUGUUCAUUGUGUCACAAUUCAGUGUUUUUCAUUGCAUAUAUACUCCCCACAUUGUCUAUAUUUUAUCCUGAUGAGUUUCUUUCCCAAUACGUGACCUCGAUCUUUGAGUUUAGCAUGCCAUGUGCUAAGACAAUUUCGAGUGCUCUUUUGUUCUUCAAUGCAAUUCACUUCAUACCAUUCAUCACUCAUGUUUCACUGUUUGUGUUCAUUUCAUUCGUGAUCUACAUCGGAGAGAGACAUAUUUGUUGGCCCUUUACUUUGUCCUAUAAUACAUAUUUUCACAUUUUUUUAUUUUCCUCUUGCCCCAUACUCAUUUUUGGUGCUCGUUUUGGAUCCUUCUUGUUUGAUCAUUCAUGGUCCCUUAUUGGUCCACGUUUACUUGACUCAUUAUUCAUUUUUUAGUCGCAUUUUAGAGGCCAUGUAGGAGGAAUUUUGAGUACAUGCAAGCUUAUUUUUUAGAGACCCUUAGUAGUUGGCUCAUAUGAGGACACGCCUCCUCACACUACUACAAAAAUCAUUUAUGGUGUCACUAUUUAUAGUGACACUUUUAAAAUAAUGACACCAUAUAGCUUAAAAUCCACAAAGGUGACACAUCAUAUAAAAAUUUUCAAUUAGGAUCAAUGAUAUUAAUUUUAGGUUUAUAAUGUCAGUUGCCAAAAAAUGACACCAUAUAAAAUAUUUUUUUUCUAAAUAUUAUAACUCAAUUGGCCCACUUUGAGAAUAAUGAUAGUAUAUAAAAAAAUCAUUGUUUCCACAUACCCACAAUCCAAAAAAAUUUCAUUCCAUAACCCUAACCAAAAUUUUUUUCUACCUCUUCUCACACCCAUAGUUAACACACAACUGUUCUUCUCUGCUUUGUGGACUCUCAGGUAACCCAAAAUCUCUUAGAUCUAUCAUUUUCAUUUAUUUUUUUAUUAAUGUCAAAAUCUUUAUGAACACAAUUGAUUUAUGUUUAUUGAUUUAAUAUAUUUGUAAUAUGGAUUGUGUAAAUAGUGUUUUUUUAUUGAGUUGUAGGAAAGUAAAAACUAGGUUUAACAUUCCACCAUAUCUUCUGGUUCAUUGUUAAACCCAUAAACCCCAAAAUGAAUGAAAAUAAGAAAAAUGAAUUAUUUUUAAAUAUCUUUUAUACUCAAGAUAAUAUAUAAACAUUUUACAAUACAAAAUUUUUUUUUGAUCUUGUAGGAAAUUUCCUUUGAUAGGAUUUUCUGUUUGUUUUCAAGGAAUAUUGUAGUAUAUUGUGAUGAAGAUAUUGAUUGGUGUUAUUUGAAAAAUAAUUUUUUAGAAAAUUAUUCUCAAUAUUAUCAUCUCCCACAAAAUGAAAAAUGAAAUAGUUUUCAUAUCAUAUUGGAGUCGGUUUGGAAUGUUGGAAUUAACAAUGAGAAAUUAAUUUUAUUUUUUAUUUAUUAAUGUAAAUGAAUUGUUUUUUUUUUAAAUUUAAAUAGGAAUGAAAAUUUUUAUAAUUAUAAAAAUGAUCAAAUAUUAUAUUUUGAUUUUUUUUUCUAUUCUUUUACAUGGUAUUAUGGUUAAUAUCUCAUCUUGUUCUAUAUAUAUUUUUUAUAUUCUUAAAAUAUGUUUUUUGCUUUUUGUUUUUACUUUCUUUUCUUAUUGUUUUUAUAUGUGUUGACCAAAAUUUAGAGUAAUUUGAGAUUGGCGAUAAAAUUUUCCUUUCAAGGUUAGAAAAUUUCUAUAAAAUCAUUUUAUUACAUAAUUUUUUCAAUUCCUUCCAUAAAACUCUUCCUUUUUCCUUUUUUAAGAAGAUGUUUGAUAAUUUUCUUUUGAUUUCUAUGAAAUUUCCUUUUAUUGGACUGUUUGUUUAUUUUCUAAGAAUAUUAUAGUAUGUUAUGAUGAGGAUAUUGGUUGGUGAUAUUUGAAAAUUAAUUUUUGAGAAAAUUAUUCUCAAUAUUGUCAUCUGCCACAAAAGGAUUUUAAAAGUAUGUUUUAUUUUUGCCUUCUUUUCUUAUUGUUUUUAUAUGCAUUGACCAAACUUUGGAGUAAUUUGAGAUUGAUGAUGAAAUUUUCCUUUCAAGGCUAGGAAAUUUCUAUAAAAUCCUUUUAUUACAAUUUUUUUUUUUUUCCUAUUCCUUCCAUAAAACUCUUCCUUUUCUUCAUUUUUCUUUUUUGAUGUUUGAUAAUUUAUUGAUCUAAAGAAUAUUAAAAGUAAAAAAUUUAAAAUAUUGAAUAUUUUUUCCUUUGAUGUUGUUAUUUUAUUAUUAUUUUUAUUUGAACAUAUUUUUCAUAUCCAAAUUUUCUAUUAAUUAUUUUACUUUUAAAAAAAAUAUCAAUUGAAGUUAUGACUGAAAAAUCAAUAAUUUUUAUGAAAGGUUCUUUAAUUCUUUCUCAUACUAAUUUUUCUCUUAACAUUUCUUAAUAGUGAAUUAGGUUUUUUUGUUUUAUAUACACAAUUUUCAUGCUUGUUAUAAUAUCAUGUCCUAUCAUAUUAGUAGUUGAAAACAUUUUUAUAUUUUGUUACUAAAAUUUUAUUUUAUAUAAUUUACAUGAAUUUUAAUGGACAUUGUUAUUUCACAAAAUGAACAUUAAAAAAAAUAUUGAAAUUAAGAAAAUCCUUCCAAGAAAUAAAAAAAUAUAAAAAGAAUUGGAUGUUAAAAAUGAUUUUUAAAAGCAUUAUGAAUUAUAAAAAAUAAAUUUAAAAGAUUAGUAUUUUCUAAAAUUUUAGAUUUAUAUUUUGAUUUUGUAGUUUUGAUUUAUUUCAUAUUUUCUUGAAUUGUUUUUAUUUGAGUUCAAAUGUGACUACUUUGUUAUGAGAUUCAUUAAAAGGAUAAUUGUUGAUUCUACAGUUAUUGCAUUAAAGGUUUUACUCAUUUAAUGAAUUGUACAUAGUUUCAUACUUCUAAUUAUUGUGAUAUUAAUGUUAUUUUCAUUUGAUUUUAGUUUGAUGACAAAAAACAUAUUCUCAAGUAGACUUUGAUGAAAUAAGAGGAGAAUGGAUUGCUUUUGUGUUAUAACUAAUCAUGAAUCAUGUUGAUGUAUCGUGAUCAUGCAUGGUGAGUCCCUUAGUUGUUAUAUAAAUUUUCCAUUGGUAUUGUAUAACAUUACUUAUUCUUUAUGAACUAUUUUUAUAUCAAAAUAGGAAAAAGAAAAAAGGAAACAUUAGUACUUAGAUUUGUUUAUUUUUUUAUAACAUCACUAUGGACCCCGCAUUUUCGGCUCGAUGCGUUUCCCACUCGAUGGCGAGCUCGAUUUUUAAUUUUGAAAAAUGAUUUUUAUUCAUUAAAAAUGACUUGGAGUCGCCACUUAUUUUUGUUUUAUUUUUAAAGGGUAAACAAAAUAAGAAAAAAAAACCCUAAGUGUGACUCCUUAUUUUAGAAAAGGCGAUCUACGAAAAAACCGGAUUGGGCUCGGGGGUUAGGUUACUUAUCGGGAAGGUACGGUAAAGACCGUAGCACCCCUCUAAGUCCCUAAAAUCGGGUCUUUACUAAUAGAAUGAAGCUGACGUGGCAGUCAACAAGAAAAUCGAUGAAUAGUCAAAUCAAUCAUGCACAAUAUGAGAAGCAAAACAUGUAUAAAGAAUGAGCGAAAUAUGAAUAGAUGCGUACCUGGACGGCAAUCACGAACGCGCUAUCAUGAAACAUGGUUAGUGAACAAUGAACAGAUAUAAUUAAGCGCAUAUCAAGGAAUAGAGUAAAUCAAUCAUGCAUAGCAAAUAAAUAAAUCAAUUAGUUAAUCGAUUAUAAAUCACAUAUGUGGGGCCCCACCAAAGUCCAUUUAUUUUGCAUGAUUUAAUUCCAAUAACUCCAUUACUUGGAAUUACGGAAAUGAAUUCUUGCUUAUUUUAAAACGUUUUAAAACGAAGGAGAUGUGGAAAUUAUUUGCUAGAAGGAAAGAUGACAACAAAAUUUUAUUGGAAAUGAGAUUUUUGAGUGAUCCUAAAAAUUCUAAAGAUGAAAAUUUGAAAAAUAAAUAAAUAAAUAAGAAUAAAAUAAAAUUAUUUGAAAAUCUAGAAAUUGGAAACUAUUUGAAAACGGGAAAUUUGGAAAUUAAUUUAAAAUUGAAGAUAAAGAAAUAAAUAGAUAAAUAAAAAAAUAAAUAAAGGACACGUGACUCAAAAUGUGGUCAUGCAUAGUUGCUUGUAAAUUGGACAGCCAGUUGCUUCUCAUACUCUCAGCGUCAAGAUGUUCCUUGAUGUAGUUGCCCCAUGUGUCAUCCUUAGCCGUGAUAAUGCAUGUGUUUUCAUCCCAAUUAAAGUCACUUUGAUCAAGAAGUGCCUUGAUAGUGACAUAUUGCAUCCUCAAGACAUCAUACCGAUUCCUCAGUUGGUCCUUAUCCAUGGAUUCCCGCGAAAUAAAUCUGUUACCAGAACAUUGUAACCAUUGCAUGCAACGCGAUAUGCGGAGUCCCUUGUGGAUGAAUUUUCGAAGCCAAAGGCAUCAAACAAGAGCAGUAUCCCUGCCAACUGCGUGUUCAUCCAGCCGCUCAAUCACGCCACUAACAUGGGCACAGCGGAAAGCAUCAACACAACCUUAAUUCCUCUCUUGUAGCUGUUUAGCAGAUCCAAGUCUGUACAAGACUUGAUCUAUGGCAACGUCAUGAGGAUAUAGCCGCGGGGUAGCAUAUGAAUCCAAUCAAUGGGAAAUGGGCAUUAGGAAUGGUGGUCAGGCUUUGCAUGAUUUCAUACACGUGAAUGAGUGAUGCUGGGACCUUCAUGGAGGCUUUGAGUGGAUCUUUGGGCGGCGGUGUAGAAAGAGAAAGGUAGCAGGAAGAAAAGAAUGGGUGUGGGCUUGGUGGUAUGAAACGUGUGGUGUUAAAGAGGAAUGUGGCGUACAUGAGGAAAGACAUGGUGAGUGGAAUGAGCUAUGGGCAUGAGAGAAAUAGAGAAAAUGGGUAUGAAGGUUAAUGAGAGAGAACGGGCGUGUGAGGGUGGUAAAGGAAAAUGGAUGAUGGAUGCACAUAGGUGGAAAUGGGAAUGGAUUUGAUAAAGCAUGAAGGUAGGAAUGGGAUUCGGGUGAUAUUAGAUUACCAUGCAUGGAGAAUGUAUACGUGGAGGUCUAUUAUGCAAAGGAACUAAAAACGGGUCAAGUGAAGGGCUGUUUAGGGAAUAUGGCAUCAGUUUCAGGUUGAGGGGAUGGGGCCCUUGGGCCAUUUGGCUACCCACAAGUAUGAUCUACAAAAUAGGGUCCUUAUGUCAGGGUCAACUUUCGGAUUUUUGCAAAGCUGAUGCUACCAAUUUAAACUCUGAUCAAUCAGUGUCCGCGAUCUUGAGUCCUUCAAGCUGAUGCAACGCGUCUUUAGGAAGGUAGAGCCUCCAAUGAAUACUUUAGAUUUCGAUUUUUGAACAAUCAUGGCAGAACCCUUCAUCGAUUGGCAUUAUCAUUACCCUGGGAUUGCAGCAAGAUGCAUGGAAGGCUUCUUCACUAUUAUCACAAAUGAGCAUAUACAAUAUAUUUUCUGAAUGACCACACGAUUUACAUGGUUGGGAUGAGUUGCUAUUCCCACUAACUCCCAGAACUUCAAGAAGCUCCUGACUCCUCAGUAUAGAAAUGCGUGUAAUCAUUACCCUCUUGUUUGGCAUGACCUGUGCAUACCCAAGAAUGACACCUACUAACCAACCAAUUGAUCCUUAUUGCAUUUAGAACUCAUCUGCAUCCCCUAGUCAAUUUCAGUUUCUGACAGUUAAACCAAAAAUCCCCAGUCUCAGCAAUGACAGUAGUCUCACUUGACAACAUUUUCUGUAUAUGCUGGAACAGAACAUAAACCCUCAAAGGCUCCUCGGGAUCAGACGUAGGAGACUGUCCCUCAGGAACGUAAACUCUAUGGUAGAACUCAUAGGCAGUGAUAUUGCAUUCGAGCCUCUUGGAGAAUGACUUGAAGAAAUCUUUCAUCAAAAUGCACCCAAGCUCAAGCCCAUAAGCACACCAAACACCAUUAUUGGGUUCGUUACAUCACCAUGCUACGGAGUUUAUACAACAGGAAGCUCUAACUGAUGAUGGUUCUGGUAGUGAUUUGCCAAUGGGAACUUGGCCAUCAAGUGAACCCGAUAUCAGAAGCUGAAGUUAUUACCUUGUACUCUUCUAUUCCCCCAUUAUCAGCAAUUCCAAUGGAAACAGUAGGAGAGCCUCAAGACUGUGUAUCCAUUCAAUAACUCUGUUUCUCAGUCAGGAUGCAAAAAACUCCCCAAUGAUUCUACAGCUGCAACCACAGGAGCCCCACUACUACCAGUUCCUUCACCCAUUCUGACAGCAACCAAAACCAGACCAAUGACUUGAACUUUAGACUUCCCCAAUCCAUUAAAUCCAGAAACCACUUGGAGUUAGAAACAUUUUCUACCUCAUCCUAGAACUUUCAGGUAUUUUACAAAGUAAUGGUCGGUAUUUUUCAAAAGCAAAAAGAAAAAAAGGUAAGACUCAAGAAACAGAGCAAACUCAGAAUUCGUUAAUCAAGACUCCAUCUCAUGCUGCACUCAAUGGAUCUAAACAGGUGAGACAAGCAGGGAGCAGUGGCAUGAUUAAUCAAUCUCAAAAAUAAUCCAUAUAUCGGUUAUUGACAGGAAAAAACAAAGAAAGCAGAAAAGAACCCAAACAGAGCAAAUACAAAAACAAACUCAAAUUCAGCAAAUCAAUCCACAAUCAAGAAAAACUAACAAUGCUCAAGUAGCCUGAGAAAAAUGAUGAAGAACAGUGAUAAUGAAAAAUACCCUAAAAAAAAGAACACGAUACUUCAUACCUGUGAAACUCCUCUCCGAUGAAGCUCACCUACCAAACCAAUCUGCUCCCAUCCUUGGCACUAGAACCCCUCUCCGUAGCAGCCUAAGCUCAAGGAAAUCCCUCUCCAGACCGAUCUCUUCUUUCUUCUCAAGUUCUUUUCUCCUCCUCUCAAAAUAUCUCUCCCUGAAAAACGGCAGCCAAAACCUCCCUCUGCAGCUGGCCUGCCCCCGUAACAGAAUACCCCCCUCUAGCUUUCUCACUACCCUCAAAAGCACCCUCUCUCUCCUGCAGCUGCAAGCCUCCACUACCCCCAUGCAGCUGGCAGCCUCUACUCCUCUAACGGCCAGCAGAUUCUCCUUCUAGAAAAUUCUUUCCCUUUUCCAGGUGUCUUUCCCUGAUUGGCCCAUCAAUUCCACUAUAGUGAUUCUACAGUGACCAAUCCUAAGAAGGCACGUGGCCUUAUGAGAUUGCGACACUUGGCAAACACAGGCUGCCAAAAAGUGAGCCCCCAAAUGGGGGUCUACAAUCACAUUUUUAUUUUCAAUAAGAACUCUAAAACUCAUUAAACUAUAAAAUGCAGAUAUACACUCUUGAGAGGACAAUAUGAAGAAUAAAAAGAAAUAAGAAAGAAGCAACAAGAUUUGGAUUUUUAGAUGUGACUCUUAUGUCAUACAUUAUACGACAUAAAUGUUAUUUUAUUUGGAAUUGAGAAUUGUGGGUUUUUUUAUGCAACUCUUGUGUCAUUUGGUUAGCCGGUUUUAUGCAUAUGAAACGUAAGUAUACAUGAAUGUUGGGAUGCUUAACAUUUCUAAAUCAUGUUUUAAUGUGUAUUCACUUUUCUUUUUUAGUUUUGGUGGGUUUGAUAUACUAUGUUUUGUGAACAUUUGAUAUACAAAUAUUAGUGGAUGAUGUAAUGUAUUAUAGGUUAAUCCAUAAGCAUAAAGAAAAUAUAAGUUAAAUGUAAUAUGAUUAUUAUAUUUAUGGACAAAAUUUACACACGUUGAUCUUAUUUAUUAAUAAGCAUUACAAAAAUCUAUAGGCUAGUCAACAAAAAACAACCAUAUCUUCUAUAAUCAUUUACAAUGAAGUGACACCAUAAUUCAAAGGUGAUGCAUUUAACGUGACAUCAUAACUCAAAGGUGAUGCAUUUAAUAUGACACCUUAUAUAUCUCACAUAACUCUAUAUCAAAUUAAGCAUCACUAAAAAUAUAUGGUGUCGCUUCUAAAUGCGUCACAAUUUAUCUGUUUUGGUGUCGCUUCCAAAUACGUCACCAAUUGGUACCCUCUAUGGUAUUGGUGGAUAAGGUGACGCUAUGUUGUAGCGACACCCUAUGUUUAGGGUGACUCGUUAUAAAUGUCACCAUAUAUGUUUUUCCUUGUAGUGUCAUUGGGAAGGUUUUUUCCAUUUUUUAGAGGGGUUUUCUAAAGGCUUCUAGGGUGAGGACACUGUUCUCAUAUUGGCUUUUUUUCCCCCUUUUUAGAGGGGUCUUCUAAAGGCUUCUAAGGUCAACUAGGAGAGCAUGUUGAUUGAUGCUUUGAUAUGGAUACCAGAUGCCACAUUUCAUCUUGUUGAACACUGGUUAGCUAUGGACUUGUUACUGCUUUACUCUUCUGUUUCGAGUUAACUUUGGAAAUGAAUCUGAAUAUAGACUAGUAUUUGCAUCUUGAUGUUUAGAGAAUCAUAUUUUAGUUGUUGUUUAAAAUUCAUUUUGGCAUGUUCGAUUGCUUCAAGCUCAUUUAUACAAUAAUGAAAUGGAGAUUUAUAUAUUUGUUAUUGGGUUGGCUCUCUGUUUGGUUAUCUUUAAGUUCUGCAUCUUUUCUUUUCUCGUUGCCUUAUCUUCUCUGGGGGGUGUCGUUUGAGAAAUACAUAGUGGAAAAAAUGGGAAGCUGAAGGCUUAUCCUGGCAUCGACCUCGCGUUAGGGAACGACUUGAUCGAAGAACAUAUGAAUUUUUCAAAUACCCAGAACUCACAUCAAAAGAAGCAUCGGAGUCAAGGUCAAACACAUCAUCUGACAAGGAAUAUACCUUUGCCUUUGGUGACUUUAUUGACUUCUGCAUGAUGGACAUCCGAGGGUGGGGACUGGAAGAGAAAUGAUGAAUUUGCCCAAGAUAGUUUGUCUAGAAAGGAACUUGUAUUAAAUGAUGAUUACCCACUAUGUCAGAUGUUGAAAUUUGGGUAUGACAACUCCUGGUGGCAUCAGAAAGAUGAGUUGCACAAUCCUUCUCACAGUUGAAAGCUUGACCUCCGAAGUUGGGCUUUUUCAUGGCCAGACAAGAACAGUGAUCACAAUAGUAUGAGCCAAGCCUGUCACGACCCAAAUUCUAGGUGAACUUAACCAUGACUCCAAAUCAAAGGUUUAAACUUAAAGGUUACAUCUAUUCAAUCUAGUAGUCAAUCCUGAUAACUUGAUUUUUUUUUCUUGAUAAAACAAUAUCUAAUCCCAAAUCAAUUUAUUAAGCUAAUAACUUGAUUUUUUUUCUCAAUAAAACAACAUCUAGUCCCAAAUUAAUUUAUUAAGCUAAGAUUUACUAUAUCAUAUUAUUUGAUUUUAUUUUUCAAAAAUCAACCAUUACACUAUCACUUAUUUGCAAGUAUAAUAAAUCUGUCAAACAUCUUAUCACCCAAAAUGAUAACCCAAAUAUUUACAAAAAAAAGUUUUACAAAUUAAUAAAAUAUAGUCUAAGUUAUAAAAGUUCUUAUAAAUUAAAUUAGUAUGUGCUAAAAUAUAAGAUAACUGAAAAAAAAAAAAAAAAAAAAAAAACCAUUAUUAUUAUGGUUCCUUAAAAACUAUAUUUGCAUCUAAAAAUUUUAGAAAAUAAAGGGAUGGACAUUUCCACAUUACUUAGUAAGGUAUUUUACACCCACACAAAUUAGAAAUUCUAAGUCAAUAAAACACAAUCAUAUAUCAAAGUGUAAUUUUACAUCUAAUGUACUACAACUAUAUACAUUUAAACUAAUCAAAAUUAUCACUAACCAUAAUCAGACUCCAAAUAAUACAAAUAACAUUUAUUAUCUCCCAAAAACAUAAUGUGUAAUUUUGUUUCCAAAGAAAAAUAUAAAAUAAAAGUUUUAGGGUUAAACCACCCUACAUCAAAUUUGAAAAUCUAAUUGUUAAAACUAAAAUCAGACUCCGUAAAAAUGUUCUUUAUGUUAAAUAGAGUGUUUUGCUAAAAUCUCAUGCAAAACAGAAUUCAUUUGGCUUGUCGGAUGACAACCCAAAUAUUUGUUGCACCUUCCUUGUUUCUUCUCUUCCUUUGUGUUUCCGUUUGCACUCUUCUCUCUACGGAUCUGGUAAAUAGGGUAGCCCCUGGUACGCUUGGGGCUGGAUUGAAUCCUAUUCGAACUAUAUCUAACUUGAUCUUGUCCAAGCUAGGAAGGUUUUUGGUCUCGAUGACAUUGGAAGUUUCAUCAUUGCUAAAGAAAGGGGCGGCCAAAAAGGCUUAGCGACGACCCUCUCUCGACUUAAAGGAAACGACUUGUCCCAUCCAAUGCCCUACUUUUAAGUGCUCGGUAUGUUCACUUAAUCAAAUCUAGAAGAAGCUUGGCCUCUGUAGAGCAUGAAAAGGCUAGUUUUGAAGCUUUUAAUCGAGGACUUAUUUGCCCUAAAGCCUGACUUCUUAGGAAGAGAAAUGGGCUUGACUUCUUCAUCAACCUCGGAAUCGCAUUCUAUCACACUGGUGGUACUUCUUGUUGAAUUAAAAGAUUGGAUGAGUCUUUUUGUACCCACCCGCCACCCCUGUUUGAGAGUGAUUAAAUAUCAUAACUUCCUUAAUGGACCUACGGACUAGCUAAGGUUUACUUACAUAGUUGUUCUUUCUUUUCUCAAUUUCAAGUUAAAGUUAGCGUUUUUCAGCUUACUGUUUGCUUUGGUUGAGUAGCCGCCUUAUGACCCUUUGCUUUUGAAUGAAAUCAUCUAGAACCUCUCAGAUCGGAUUCCAAUCACCUUAGUGAGUCUCCUAGGUGCGAAGCCAUUCUUUAAGCCCAAAACAAAAGGAGAAGUGAAGUCACUAUCUAGACAAAGGGGCUUGCCUACUUAUAAGGUAGGAGUUCACACCGGGGAAUCGCUUUCUUAAUUAAUUAAAAGCGAGCCAAACUCACCACCUCAUGUACCAAAGUCAAACGGUUGUUCUUCCUUCCCCGCUCCCUUUUUCUCUACAUAUGUGAUGGCGGGCAGAGCGCUCUAUAUGACCGGUGGUGGGUUACCAGAGAAGAUGGGACAACUUCUUUCUCUCUUGCCUUGCUCAAUCUUCCUUUUCUGAUUGAAAGUAGCAAGCCACACCACUACUGGUACAGAGGUCGGAUAGAAGGUUGCUUUUUCUAUAUGUUCAGGCGAAGAACAUCUACGGCACAGUCUUCGCCAAGCAAGAUGAUGUAACUCCUCAAAACAUAAAAAGAGCUCUUAUAUAUGUAAAAACAUGAUAUAUGUGUAAAUGAAUUAUAGCCAUUUUCAAAUAGAUCAGGAUCGUCAGAUGUUUGAAAUGGAAAGUCAAUUUUUCUAUAUGCAUGUAGAUAUCUAUAGGGGAUUAUAUGAAGGGGAUGUUAUUAUUUUAGAUAUAAUCAAUUCCCUUCUCGGAGCCCACUAAGAUCCGGAUCUCCUACGGAAAUGAUUUAGAAGAUCCAAAACCAAAAAUAGUGGUAUUUGCUAGCAACAACAUAAUGGAGGCAGUCAAUCAAUAUAUAUUGAUCUAAAAUCUGAUUCAAAUCCAAUAUAGCACCUAUGGGUACAUAAAAGAAAGGCAAGAGAGAAAAGAAGUCCAUACUUUUCAACAAAGCUUUAAGUGAGUAGGGGUGUAGCAGAUUCAUGCACGUCGAAUAUAAAUGCAGUUGGAUGAGUAGUCGCGGAUUCACAAUGCCGGUUAAAAAGCCAAUCUUAGGGUUGCAUUCACUCCCCUUCUAUAUCUUGCAUCUAUAGUAUUUUUGUCCUGGUGGAUCUCUUUAUCAUUUAAUAAAAGUUUGGAAUCUUGGGUUACUAAUUGGUGGAAUACUAGGCAAUCUAAAACUUUUUUGAAUGAUAUUCAAGAAAACAAUCAAUUUCCCAUCAUUUGCACUAUGAAUGGAAAUGAAAUUCUAGAUCUAGAAUCAGAUGAAUGUGCAACAGUCAAUUUCCUCCCUCACAACCUAAUUGUCCACUAAAAACAACCUUUUUUACUAUACGCUAUUUGGCCGCUAGAAGAACUUCAGUUCUUAUAGGUAAAUGCUCAAUACCCAAGUAGGCCUACAAAGUUGAUCAUGAUCAAGUGCUUUUUGGGUCGUCUUAGACCUUGCAAUAUCUCUCCGGCCCUCUAGCACUCUGUUAUGGCUCAAUCACUUACUCUAGUUCUGGAGUUCUAGGUCCUCUAGCUAUUAGUGCAGGUAGCUCUCCUUCUGGUAAUGCAUUAUAGGUUGUCUUCCUUCCACCUUCCUGUUUUCAAGAAAGCUUAUUUUCUUUCUAAGAAAAAUCAUACAAUCUCGUAUGAGAACGGGAUUGAUGGGAGGCAUAUGCUCCCAGGCUACACAAUGUCUUACAGGGCUUACCCAGUUAGAAGGUAUGUAACUAAAGUCUCAAGAGAAUUGAAAUCGACGAGAAAUCAGAAUCAAUGUUAGAGAUUAGACUUGGCAUGGAAAAAGGAGUAUAGUAAGAUGAUAGAGACCUCGCACGAGAUGCUUACUCGGAUUCAUGCCCAUAAAGAGUAGAAGAUUCAACACAAGUGCAAGAAUAGGUUUCACAGUUAAGAAAGGUUGAGAUUCAGGUGAGUGAGUGAGUCCUCACUGACUUGAGCGAUUUCGAUCACCUAGCAGUUUAUUUGGUAGGUAACAUCGCUAAAGCAUAUCAUCUGAUCUACAAAUGAAGGAAAUCAAAGUGAGACGACACCGUCCUCUGUAACGCAACGAUAGUUGGCCCUUUAUCAUCAACUAUUUGGUAGACUUGGUAAAAGAUGUAAGGCUUUAGCUAGUACACGAAAGUGCAUACCAUGAUUCUUCUGUCUAUCAAUAACUGCAUGCAUUGCACGAUGGAUGUGAAGAAGUAGGCCAUUAUCUCGACAAUAAUGAGCCAAGCUAGUAUUUGCAGUGAAUCCCCCUGUUAAGUAGUCACAUUAAUGGAACAAGAACACAUUAGCGUAUGAAACAGAGCUGAAAGCGCGAGUGCACAAUCUCAAAAACGGCAAAUUCACGUUCUACUUCCUCAAUCUCGAACUCUGUCUAUUGGGAUGAGCUCCCCUUACCUGCGCUAUUCUAUGAACGAACUUCCUUUAUAAACCAUAAAACUGGAACAAUCACUGUUCCAGGGUCUGUCUCAGAGUUCUAUCUCGUGCUUGACAUCAAUUGCAUCCAAACCUUUAAUCGGGUAUACUUUCCACAAUAACAAGCGAGUCAUAGUUAGGUAAAAGUUAUACAGAAAGAUGACAUCGUUGGCGAACUUGAAGCUAGUUAGGUAAAUCCCCUUAUAUUCUUCUUUCUUCUCCCAUAAGACAUUCCUUAUUAUUAUUAUUAUUAUUAUUUUCAUUUUCUCAAUUUCUUUAUCUUUUCAACUUUAAGACACCAUUUUGCACUUCUUCUUUUUUAUUAUAAUUAUUAUUCUUUAUCAACCAUACCAUGUUAAGAAAUUUAUUUAUUUUAAUCCAAAAAUCUACUUAAAUACAAUUUCAUACUUUUCUUAAUAAAUUAUAUAUAUAUAUAUAUAUAUAUAUAUAUAUAUAUAUAUAUAUAUAUAUAUAUAUAUAUAUAUAUAUUAUUUCUUAUUAUAACAAAUUUAAAAUGUCACAUGUAUCAUUUUUUUAAUAAAUCAAAUUAUUAUUCUUUAUUUCAUAUUCUACAAUUAUAAAUUAUACUCAAUAUAUGAUUUAUUGUCUUACGAAAAAUAUACUGCUAUAUUCUUAAUUAAAUUUAUUACAAGUCUACUUUUCAAAAAAAAAUUAAUUUGACUUUAAUUACUUGAAACAUUUUUAUUAUGAAAUUCAUUUAGAACAUGAUUUCAUUAAUUAUAUAUUUAAAAAAAAUCAAUUUUAGAAAAAAAUCUGAAACAUAAAAUAAUUCUUCAACAUCAAGAAGCUGAAAUUCAUAAUAAUAUUUAAUCCUUUAAUUUUACCAAUAUUUAUUUACCAAUAAAAUUUAAGCAAUAUUCUGAAAUUUAAUUCCAUUAGUUAUUUAGUCAUUCAAUUUAUAAAAUCAUAUUCUCAACCUUUGGUAUAACUUUUAUUUAAUUUACUUCAUUUGUCAAAUUUCUCAAUUGAAUCAAAAUUUCAAAAGUUAAAUUCACUAAAUUCAUAUUUAAUUAAUUUAGCCUUUUAUAUUCCCUAAAUUAAUAUAUCAUAAUUUACUCUUAAUGUAAUUUCAAUUCAAUUUUAUUUGAUGUUUUGUAAUUCUAUAAGGUUUAAUUCUAAUUAUAAAAAUUAUUGAUUUCUUAUAAAAUUAAAUUCAAUUUCUUUUUAAUUAUCCAUUAUAACAAUUUGAUAUAAUCUAAAUUUUUAUCAAGUUUUUCUUACUACAAUUCUCUAUAAUUAAAUUAAUGGUCAUAAUAUACUUAAUAUUCAAUUUUAGAGACUAUAAUAUCAAUAAUUAUUUGAUGGUUGAAUUUUUUUCCAAAUUUAAAUUUAAUUUUUGAAAUUCCUACUCUUUGCAUAUGACGUGAUGGAAUUUUUAUACUAUUGACUUUUUAUUAACUUUUUCAAAAAAUUUCUUAAUUAAAUAUUAACACGGGGAUUUUCGUCAUUCUUUUUUAACAUUUGACUAAUGAUUUUAUGAUAACUUUAAUCUGACAUGUCAUUAAAAAUCCGGUUGUUAUAGAGCCAGUCAAAUUAAGCCUGUUAUCCGAGGAGUGAAGCCACUGCCUUGUUCUAUCUCCGAUGGCCUGCUCAGCUCCUUCAACCCCCAUCGCUCUCCUCUUUCCAAGUUCUCCAUUUUCAGUUUAGAGCCAACAAGGAUCGCAGAAAUCCUUAAAGAUUGACCUACAUGGUAUCGUGAGUACCGCGAUGUGGAUGUUCUUAAUGUGUUGUCUACUAGAGCCAAAUGGGUGUUUGAUAAGACCCAGUGAAGGUGUAAAAAUUAUAUGACGAAGCUUGCAGAAAGACUUUGAGUUGAGGGAAGGCAUCUCAACGAAGUUGGGCUUUUGUAUUGUGAAUCUGGCAAAUUACCUAUACUGCAUGGAUCAUCACUCUUUUAACGUGGAGGUACACAGGUCCUUUGCAAUGUGACACUUGGGGCACCACAUCAAGCUGGUGAUGCUCAACGACUGGCUUCUCUGGACGGGUCCUCCAACAAAGCGCUUCAUGCUUCACUGAAAUUUCCCGGAGUUCUCAAUUAAUGAAGUUGGCCAACUCCUUAACCUGCACUGUUCCGCAGCAGUCACAUAAAGAUUUGACAUUGAAAUUGAUCAGGUUUUUCCUCUGCCAAUGGUGGUGGGCGCGCUUUGUAUGUAGAUUCCGAAGGAACUUCCAACUUGAUGGCUGUGAGUGGUAAGGUUGGAGAAGAUACUACUGGGUCUGCCCCAUUAGUUUUCCAUUGUUAAGGUAGUUUGGUGCACAGCUUCCUGGAUCAUCUACACCACGAGCACCUCCAGCCGCCUGUUUUGAUCAGUUUCUGGAUUUCCAUCUCCAAAUUGUGCAAGCAGUGACUGAUAUGGUGUCCAUACAAGCGGCUACUGAAAUGGUUCAAACCCCAAAUGCUGAAGGGAAAGGAGCUUUUGGAAAAUAUCAUGAAGAAGACUCACCCAUCUUACAUGAAAUUAUACACAACUCCAUGGACCAGAACCGGAACCCAGACUUAAAUUUGUCCAAGAGAAGAUCAGUGUAAUACAAGUCAACUGCAGUCAUUCCUGAAAGAAGUGAUGAGAAGAGUAAACCUGGAAAAGCAGUGAGUGAAACAAGUUUUGUGACAUUGAACAAUUUGCAGAUGGGUGUUCCCACAAGCUCCUCUCCCCUCUUCCUACGUGCAUGAAAUUCCUACGUGCAUGGCCACCUUCUUAGGUGUGCAAUUCUGCGCAUAAUUCUCAAGCGUACUAUCACCCUCUUCUUUUUUGAAAAAUUGAUUUUAAAUUUAAAAUUUUGACAAAUUCAUUUCCCUUUUAAAAUCCCUCAGUAAUUCUCUUCAAAUUAAUAAAAUCUAUUUUCAAAAAAAAUUUGCUGCCAUUUUCCUUUUGGCAUAGACCUUUUUCUAUUUUCUUUGAUUUUUAAUCAUUUUCCAAUUUUUUAAUAAAUAUGAAUAAAUUCUAUGUUUUUAAAAAUAAUGGAAUUUUGUCCAAAUUUCUAUUAUCUUUUUCUCCAUGAUCAUUAGAAAGAUGAAAUUCCUAAAAUUAAUUCAUGCAAAUAAAUUGGACAUUGGUAGGCCCAACAUAUGAAUUUUUCUCCUUUGAUUAUUGUUUUUAAUUGCUACACUUGAUUGACUAAUGAUUGAUCUCUGUCUUGCUCUAGCAUACAUGAGAUUAUUUUGUGCUUGUUAUUGUACACUAACCAUGUUUCUCACGAAGCGCUCAACUUAUUCUCAAGUACGUUCUUUCCUUUUCCUAUUCGUUUAGUUAUAACCAAUGUUUUCAAAAUCGGACCGAUCAUUGAAUUGGAAAAGUUACUGGUUCACGGUUCACUGGUCGAAUCGGCGGUCAAAUCACGGUCAAACUAGUGAUGUCAUAAAUAUAUAAUUUAUAAAUUAUUAAAAUUUAAAAUAAUUAUAAAAAUAAAAAUAAUAAUUUAUAUAUUAUUUAAAAAUUAAAAUUUUAUUUAAAAAUUAGAAAAUUAGUUUCAAAUUAGAAAUUAAAAUUAAAAUCAUAAUUUUAAUUUUAAUUUUCAAAUUUUCAAAUUCAUUUUUAAAUAAAAAAAAACUUAUUUUAAAAUCAUGAAUUUAUUUAAAAUUAUAAUAUUUUCAUUAAUUUAAAUUAAAAUCAUAAGUUUUAAACAUCAUGAAAUAAAAAAUAAUAAAUAUAAAAGAAAAUAAAUUAUACUGAAAUGAGGUAAAAAAUAAUUUAAAAAAAUGGAAAAAGAGAGGAGAGGAACAAGCAAAAAAGGGUUCCAACAGGGUUUUGGGGGGUGGGGUUUCCAUUUCUAGCGCCAGGUGGGGGCCCUUCCGGUGGGCCAAAAGGGGAAAAGCUUUUUGGCUUUUCCAGUGCAAGGGGUGCCGAUGGGGUGGGGGGUUCCAAUGGGCAAGAAGAGCUCUUCCAGCGCACGCGGGUAGGAGUGGCGACAAUGGGGAAAAAAAAAAAGUUGAACCGGAUGGUUCCAUCCGAACCGUCCGGUUAGUCGGCCGAACCACCGAUUUAACUAGUCCGACCACUUUCCAGCCCAAUUGACCAAACCAGAUUGAAACCGUGACCAGCCGAUCCAAUCCAAUUUUUAAAGCCAUAAUUAUAGCUCAACCAUAACACAUCAUUGAUCAUUACUUGGUAUUUGUUGACUUUUUGAUCAAUUGUCAUUCUUAUAUUAACUUGAUUAUUAGAGACCUAAUUUUAGGGUAUAAAGGGGUAUUACGAUUUAUCAUCCUACCUUCUCAACAAGUAACCUGACCCUUGAACCCAGACUUGGUUUUUCAUAAACCCGUAUUUUCCUUUCAAGUUUCAUACUUAGAAUUUUUUUUUUUCCAUUUAAAAAUAAAAUAAAGAUACGUGGCCUAAAACCAUUUUCAUCAAUCCAAAGUGAGUCUUGUCUUUUUUUUUUUCAAGUAAGGACACGAUCACAGGUCUACAAUACUAUUUUAAUAUAUAUAAUGAAAUAUAGAUAUUAACGCCAUCUUAAAGAUAUAAUUAAAUUUUUUGUUUAAAAUAAAUUAUAAUAAUUUAAAAAUAAUAUUUUAUUUAAAAUAAAUUUUAGAAUAAGCAAAGUUGAUAUGUGGACAUAGAGAAUCGUGAACCAUUGUAAAUGUAUUGAUUAUAUCUCUUUCUUCCCAUUUCAUUUUUACUUUAGUUUUUAUUAUUCGUAUCUUUUUCUACUAAAAUUUGAAAAAGAAAUUCACAUUCACUUCUUCUUGGGUGUAUAUCAUAGGAUUCAAAAUGUUUUUAAAAAUUAUUAAAUUUGUUAAUUGUGACUAUAUGCUUAUUUAGGAUCCAUUGAUCUUAAUAACUUUCUUCCCGAUAUAGGAAGAAAAUGACUAUUCCAUUAAUGCAGCAUGCAUUGCUGCUUAUUUAUCAAGCAAAUUACAUUAUUAUUUUCACACCAAACCUCCAAAUUCUCCAUGCAUAUACGCAUCCUAUACUGCAUGGCCAACUUCAGAGAGCUAAAACAAGCUCUUAUUGAAUACAUGAUAGAUAAUGUCCCACUGACCCUUUUACUCUGAUACCCUGAAAUGAGAAAUUUGGAGGUUUUCCACAUCAAGCUUCUUGAAAUUACUGCGCCUUCUCGUAACAAAGAACUUUCCCCAGUUGUAUGCUCUAUACUUUGGCUUUUCCCCCUUCGUCAGCUCCUCCAAGGGCUUCACCCAAACAUGGUGCCCGGGACUCAAAACGAACGGAAUCGAGAACCUUUCCCUCUCUGAAUUCACCAUCACCCUGUGCUCCACACUUUCAUAAGUAUCGUUGCUCCAGACCUGGUUUAAUAUCAGUAGAAUUAACCAAAUGAGUGAAAAAUUCCUUGAGCCAAACACUACUGAUAAGCAUGUACUUGUAAUUCAAAGUUCUUGGGUGGUACCUGAACUAUAUCCCCAACAUUGAUGAUAUAAGCAUCUGGGGUGGGCUUAACUCGAACCCAUUCUCCAUCAGUUUUUCGCUUUACUUCCAACCCUCCAACAUCAUCCUGAGCAAGGAAAGUUAAGGCUCCGGAAUCCUUGUGGCGACCAAUGCCCAGAGCUAGGUGAGGAAUGGAGCAAGGUGGGUAGUGAUUGAGGCGGAUGAAGUUUGUUGAUUCUUCAAAGAGAAGAUUGAAUCUGUUCUCUGGCAAACCUAAGCUCAGAGAGAGGAGUCCCAACAGAUUGACAGCUAGUUUUUCCAUUUCUCUAGCAUAUUCUUCACAUACCUCCCUGUAUAAAUCAGCUCAAUUAGAACAAAAAAACUUAAGUAAUUCACUGUAGUGACUGUGCCUUAGCUGGUGGAAUUUGUACCUUAAUUCAGGAGGGUACUGAGGCCACUGAUUGAUCAGCUUUUCGAGCUCCUUGUCGUCAGGAUUAGGCGAAGCAGGGAUGAAGGCGGGGGAUGACGCCACGAUAUCAAAGACUUCCUUCCAGUCCCUAACGUUCUUGGUAUGCUCAGUAUCGAAAUACCCAAAAGGAUUCACCUCAUCUCUACUCACCUUCCUCUUCUCCUCCAAUGGCAGAGCGAAGAACUUCCUCGCCGCAUCCUCAAUUUUACGACGAGACUCGGAGGGCACCCCAUGGUUGAUGACUUGAAAGAAGCCCCAGUUCUUGCACGCAUCAGCUAUUUGAGAAACAUGGUUGGAAGCAUUGGCGGAAGAGAGAUCAAUGAGGGGGAUGCCUUCAGCUUCGAUAACAGCGAGCUUAGGCCUAUGUUGGGUGUCUUGGAUGAAAGCUGGAUCGACCUCUCCCAUGGCUGUGGUAGUGGUUAGAACUUAGAACUUAGAAAUGGCGGUUAUGCACUGCUGGUGUUAGCUGCACGUGAAGAUGGUGAGGGGGACUUGGCCACUUAGCAGGUGGUUUUUGUAGUGUAGUGGGGUUGGUUUAGUACAUUGAACCUGGACAUAAUUGGGGUUACGUUUUAAGUUUUGGUUGGGGGUGUGGGCUCAUGGGUUGCGCAAAUGUCAAUGAUAAUUGGUCAAGUGAUACCAAGUUAUUUCCAAAAUCUGCAGCCGCAAAGGGUAUCUCUCUCGAUGAUUUUGGCAACGUACAGCACUCUCCACAUUCAAAUGUUUGAUCAAAGAUACGUUUUGUUUAGUGUCGUGUAUAUUUUCGAAUUAAUUACUUCAUAUUUAGGGAUACGUUUUGUUGAGUAUCGUGUAUAUUUUCGAAUUAAAAACUUCAUAUUUAGGGAAAAGUGUGCUUCAAUACGCUAAUAUAAAAAUAUCAGCAAAAUAAGAUCCUAAUUUUUCAUAUUUUAAGGUUUAUAAUGCAAUUGGAAAUUAUUUGGAGAAUUAUGCAUUUUCAGCUCAUGUGUAUUUCAAAUCCAAAAUGCUCUCCACCUUGCCAGCCAAGUCUUACACGUUGAAAGUAAAGAGAGAAAAAAUCUUCAAAAAGCCACCAAAACCAAUUUCUCUUUCUUUUUGAGUUAUUUGAUUCAAAAGAUCAAUAAAAUCCAAUUUUUAAAAUUUAACCCUUUGUUCUUUUUUUUUUCAUUUUGAUAAAAAUAUCUUUACCAUUUUCUUGUAGAAAUAACAUUUUUUUUAAACCUAUAUGUAAAUACUUGAAAUGGUAAGAGACGUGUACAUUAAAAAAAAGUUAUUUUUCAAGUAAAAAUAUAGAAAGGAUUAUUUCAUCCCUUUUAACCAAAUAUUUAACAUGAUCAAGGACUAUUCCCUAAAUGAAGGCAUACGGUAGCAAAUACCCUUAAUCUAAACAUUAAAAGUACAACUUAUCUAGUAUCAAACACUCUGUUUUAAAACCCAUAGCCACUCCAAAUAUCCCAAAUAUUCUUUUCUAUGCAACCUCUCUCUCUCUCUUUCUCGCACAAACACACUAAAAUAUUUUCUCAAACUUGGAUUUUUCUCCACAACUCAACCCUAACUUCCUUUCUAUUUGUACCAAGGCUAGAGAAUAUAGUUUAUACUUGUAUUCCUUCAUGUACCAAGCCCACAAGAUGAUCAAUAAGUUUCUCUCUAGAUUUUACAUUGGAGUUGAUUGAUGAUAGUACCCUUAUUAGGUAGUAUAUUAUCUUCCUUAGGUACUGCUUUUUCCAUCCUUAGAUACUACCUUUGUAACCUUGGGUGCAUGAUUGAAUCCAUUGUUUCAUGGCUACUUCAAGUAAGUCAGGAACUUAUGUACAUGUGUGCUACAUGUCUUAUAGAUACUAAAUUUACAUUCUUUAGGUACUACCUUUACCUUCCAUGGGUACAAAUACGGUUAAUGAUAAGAAUUUUAAUAUAAAAAAGGGAAAAACCCUGCUUGAUAAUAAAAUUGCAUAUAUUUUCUUUCUUUCUUUCCUUUUUGAUUGAUUUUUUUUUUUUUUGGUCUUUGCUUUGGUUUUUAUUUAUGUCUUUGUUUCUUUUAGUCUUUGUGUGUGUGUGUUUUAUUUUAUCUUAUUUUCAUCUCUAUGCAGAAGAUGUAGAAGAAACAACAUCACAUCAUAAGGUGCAUUUUUCCGUUCAUUUAAGACUAAAGGUUUUGGAUUCACAAAAUGGUGGGAACUAAGGGUGAGAAGCUGGAAAAAUGUUGGAUUGAGCUACAUUUGAUCAAUGGUGAAUUUGCAAAAAAGAUUGUAGGAGAGUGUAGACCCUCAAUUUUGUCCCUUUAGCACAUGUUUUAAAGUCCAUUACCAAUACUUUACAGUAAUCUCUUGGUAGCCCAUAGCUACUCACGCUACUUACCUUUCUUGAGCCACCUCGGAGACUCUAGUUGAGGGAUUGCCUAACCCCUUAUUGUGACCCUUGGCAGUUUUGAUUUAGACUUAAGGUUUUCAUUCCUUCUUAGGAUAGCUCUUAGGUGCACUUUUAGGUCCACUUAGGCAUCACCCUUGGCUAAUUUAGACAUUUUGGGCCCGUUUAGACACCUUAAACUCGCCUAGAUUCACCUUAGACCCGCUUAAGCACUUCAUUGGGGCUCAACAUUUUUAUAUAAUCUCUUGAUCAUUAUUGCAUGCAUUUGAUGAUUAUAUUUUCUUUGUUUAUUCAUUUAUUUGUUUGUUUAUUUAUUCAUCCAUUUAUUUAUUCAUUUUUUAAUUUCUAUUACGUCUUGUUUUUUUUUUUCUUUCUUUCUUUCAUUUAUUUACCUACUUAAUAGAGAAUUGUUUAGAUAUUAAAUAUGCAUACAACCCCCUUAUUGAAUGAUGGAAUUGUACAAUCUGAUAUCUCAUUUUCUCUUUCAUUUUCUUUUAAUCGUAUUUCACUUUAUUACCAAUUUCAUGACUUUCAUUAGUUGCUUCUCUUUUCCUUUGAUUUUUUAAUCUUAUCUUAUUUUGUUUUGCAUAAGGAGCACCAUCUUGGGGAGUACAAGAGGAUCUACAUUACUGGUUUGAUCAACAUAUGUUUGAGACUAAAAGCCUUCAAGAUGGCAAAAGAUGGUCAUCACAGCCCCAUGCUUCUUCUUCCCAUCUCUCAUAAUUGAAGCCUCUGUACAAAACUUCAUCAUAUCCUGAACAAUAGCAGCCACAGCAGUUGCAGCCACAGCAGCUGCAGCCACAGCAACUGCAGCCACAACAGCUGCAGCCACAGCAGCUGCAGCGACAGCGGCAACCACAGUUAAUGCUGCAACAGCAGCCACAGCAGCAUAGACUGCAUCAUCCAGUUCAACCUUCAUUUGGUCAUUUAUCAGGGUUGCAGCCCCAACUAUUUAAUCCCCAUCUUUCCCCAGCUCCACUCAUCAUGAACAAAUAUGAAGCAAUGCUUGGGAUAGGUAAUCUGAGGGAUCAAAGACCCAAGUCAAUGCAAAAAGGUAGACCAAAUCAUCGGGUUUCUCAACAGGGCUUGGAUACUAGCAGUCGGAAGAGUGAUGUUGGUGGCCACAGUUCAGAUCCAAGUAUAUGACAGCUGAUGAAAUCGAAAGUAUCCUUAGAAUGCAACGUUGCGGAACAGAUGGAUGAGUAGAAAGGAAAAUAGCAUGAAAAUAGAAAGGAAGUGACCACUUUGUGCACAACACGCAUAUAGUGGGCUGUAAGGGGGAUUCUUUUUUGUUUAGAAAGAAAAGUCAACUUGUAUCACUUACUAAACGAGAUGUGGCUGCAUCCUUGAGGGAAUCUCCCAAUGAGCCACCAUGUAUGCACUUUCCUUAUCCAUGUGCAUUGAAAAAGGAUAUAGAAUAUUCAAUAGAGGAAAGGUGCUGCCAUAUAGAAGGAAGGUGCUGCCAUAUAAACAUGUCACAGAGAGAACACACGGUGGACUUUUCUUUUGGGAGCAGAAAUUCACAUACAAAAAGUAAUCUUUUUUAGAGGAGAUGAACACACGCAAGAGUUUUUUUUUGGGAGCGGUAGAGGACCUGAACGACUAAUUGGGCUGCCAUUUUGACACAUCAAGAAAGUAUUUUUCCAAUACAAUACAGGUUAGUUUUCGAUUUUUGAUACCGUAUUUCCUUUUUUUUUUAGUUUGGGUUUUAGUUGUUUGGUUUAAUUAAUUGUUUGUGAUAAAUUCUUUUAAAUCUCGAUUUCGAACAAUCUUUUAUUUUUCUUAUAUUAAAUGUCUAUCUUUUAUGAUUGCAAUUCAUUAGUUCUAUGCUAGUUUAUUUUUAAUUUACAUGAAAGUUUAAAUAAAGUUUAUAUUUUUAAUUCCAAUUAGUUUAUUUUUAAAUUUGAAUGAGUUAUCGAUCUUAAUUAUUUAGUUUAAUUGACCUUGUGAGAUAAAAUUUAUAUUUUUAAUUCUAAUUAGUUUAAUUUUAGUUUAUUUUUAAUUUGAAUGAGUUAUCGAUCUUAAUUCUUUAGUUUAAUCGACCUUGUGAGAUAAAAUUUAUAUUUUUAAUUCCAAUUAGUUUAAUUUUAGUUUAUUUUUAAUUUGAAUGAGUUAUCGAUUUUAAUUCUUUGGUUUAAUUGUCCUUGUGAGAUAAAAUUUAUAUUUUUAAUUCCAAUUAGUUUAAUUUUAGUUUAUUUUUAAUUUGAAUGAGUUAUUGAUCUUAAAUCUAUUAGUUUAAUUGGACUUGUAAGGUAAAGUUUAUAUUUUUAAUUCCGAUUAGUUUAAUUUUAGUUUAUUUUUAAUUUGAAUGAGUUAUUGAUCUUAAAUCUAUUAGUUUAAUUGGACUUGUAAGGUAAAAUUUAUAUUUUUAAUUCUAAUUAGUUUAAUUUUAGUUUAUUUUUAAUUCGAAUGAGUCAUUGAUCUUAAUCUAUUAGUUUAAUUGGUCUUGUAAGGUAAAGUUUAUAUUUUUAAUUCCGAUUAGUUUAAAUUCUAGUUUAUUUUUAAUUUGAAUGUGUUAUCGAUCUUAAUUCUUUAGUUUAAUCGAUCUUGUGAGGUAAAGUUUACAUUUUUAAUUCCAAUUAGUCUAAUUCUAGUUAUUCAUGUGUUUCUUGAAAUCUAAAUGUUAGUUUUUGAAUGAUAAUUUUGUUAGUUUGUUUGAUUAGGAAGUCAUAAAUUUGUUGUCUUAGUGAUUGUUGGUCAAUUUUUUUUUAGGACCACUGGAAACCCAUGAAGGUUGGCCUUUACUCUCACCACUUUAAUUGAUAAGAUUUUCUAAAAUCUUUAUUUCGUGAUCUUUGUUUCCUUUUGUUUUGAUUGAUAUUUUGUUUUCUAUUUUUGUUAUUUUAAAAAUUAAUUUCUUUUAUUUUAAAACAAAACUCUUUUUCUCAAAAAAACCCUUUUUAAAAUUUUUUUUUUAUUAUUCAUUUAAAGCCUCUAGAAUCAAAAUCUAUUUUCUUUUUUAAAAAAUAACAUGCAACCAUAUCUUAAUCAGUUUGCAUCCUUCUCAAUUUUCAACAAAAAUAUCCUUCUCAAUUUUCAACAAAAAUUUUGGUUUUAAACAAAACGCGAAUCAAAGCUUGUGGUCCCAAAUAAAUGGAACAAUUUUAGGCUAAAUUCAUGUAUAUUAAUUUGGGGAAUUGGUGAAACCCCUACAUAAGAAAAUCUUUUCAAAAUUUACUUUUGCUACCACCCUACUAUUUAUCAUAAUCAUAUUUACUUUUUUUCUUUUUAGGAAUUGUAUACAAGAUAUGUAUGAUAAUUAAUUAUUCCGAGUUCUGAUAAUUUUUGCUAAUUAAUUAGAUAAGCAUGCUAGGAUUUAUUAUUUAUUAUCUAUUAUCUAUUAUCUAACCCUCAUGUUCUGAGGAAGUGCAUUAGGAGUUAUAUAUGCUAUCCAGGUACGUUCCCAAAAUCUCAUGAAUAUGCAUGUCAUUACCCUUGUUUGAUGCCAUACUUGAUUGCCUCGAUGCUUGUUUGAUCAUCCUUGAUAAAAUGCAUGUCGUGUGUCAUAUUUCUGAAUUAACCAUUGAUGUUUAAUGAUAGUGCUUAAGAAGUGGUUCAGGUACGCACCCUAACUCUCCUUUAUUGUGAUUGAUCUCCUUAUUUAGCAUGCUACUUUCUGAAAAUCACCUAGCUUACUUAAGUAUCCAUAAUUAAUCAAUUAAUUGCCUCAUUUCCCCAAUUUAGUCAGUAAAGACCUCUUUAGGGCUUAGAAGGGUGCUACCUCCUAGAGGUACCUUCCCAAUAAGUAACCUGAUCCCCGGACCUAGACUCGGGUUUUUCAAAGACAUGUUUUUUUCAAAAAUUAUGGAGUCACAUUUUAGGGUUUUUCUUUCUUGUUUUAUUUUCCCUUUAAAAUAAAAAUAAAAUAAGUGGCGGCUCCAACUUUUCCAAAACUAAAUAAUUUUUCACAAAUAAAAAAAGAGUCUCGCCAAUCGAGUGGGGACGCAUGUGAAAAAUGCAGGUCCACAGAGAGGUUUCUUGAGGUGGACAAGGUCAGAAGCAAAGAGCCUUUCCCUACUUUUUGGGGUUGGUUCCUUGAGUUCUUAGGAAGAACUUAGUUAACGUGUGAAUUCAUUCAGGGUAAUUUAUGUAAGAUUUUCUAGAUUUUGCAAGUGAAUGCACCUUAGCUUUUCCUAUUGUAUUUGUGUUUUUUUAGGUUGAUUAUUUUAUUGAUUGUCACCACUCAAGGAAUGGAAGCAAUAGGGUCUCUAGAUGUAGUGCCUAAAGGCAAGCAUACAGGCGUUGUUAGGAGUGUGCUUCCCAUGUCCAACAAGCAUAUUGACACCACCCAAAGCCAAGGCAUCUUUGGACUAGGAGUUCUAGCUUCUACUUAUGUGGACUUUGUAGAUGCAGUCUGGCUCUUCGAAAUAUUUAUUGUUAUGUAGUAGUUAUACACAUGUACUUUGUUUAAGUGAAUUGAUUUUUGGAUUUUUACUUAAAUCAAAUUUAAGGGUAUGUUGUUUAAUUUACUAGAGAUCUCUUGUUUGUAAUUCUCGUUAUCAUAUAUAGAUCUUUGUUAGUAUUUGCCAAUUUCCUCAAUAGCAACUGUAUUAGUUAUCAAUGGAAUGAAUCUUGAGUAACUUGUAGUAUCAUUUUUGGUUUUGAAUUGGCUAAUCUUUUUUGGAAGAAUGAAUUAGAUAUAUGAGCUUGAUUGCAAGCAAUAGUUGAGUUUGUUUUGAUCUUGGGGUAUUUGCCUUAUUGAUAGGACAUAGAUUUUGGGUCCAAAUAGUUGGAAAUUGAUGAGCUUAACCAGGACAUAGAUUUUAUCCCCUUGGGAGAACCACAACACUAACCAGUGUUCCUACAAAAGCUAAUAACCAUGAUUUAGAAAUGUGAUUUCCCUAAAGGGAAGCAUUUCUAAUCUUAUUUGAAGGGAAACUUUGAUGUCUUCCUUAAUACACUAGAAUAUUAAUUUAAAAACAACAAUUAAGGUUAUAUUAACUAUUAUAAUAAUUUAUAAAUUACAUAAAUAUGAUAAUAACUAUUAAAAUAAAAGUAUUAAACAUAAAAAUGUUUAAUUCUGUUGGGUAAAAACUUCAUAAAUAUUUUAUUAUUGAACUUCUAUCAUAUGAUCAAACAUAGUGAUGAUCCUUAGUUGGAUUAAUUAACACUUGUUUCAUAAAUUGAACAACAUAUAACAUGAUCAAUAAACAAACAAGUAAACAUCAUACUAGAUAAAACUAUCUCUUAAGAUUUCAAUUAUUACAUGUUUAAAUUACAAAUCAUAUUUUUGCAACUUUCGUAAAGUUAUGCAAUAGAUAUAAUUAAAAUUAUGAAACAUUGAAAAUGUAUAUUGAUUCAUUAUUCAAAUUCAUCAUAUCAUAUAUAUACUUUAGUUGUCCAUAAGAUCAAAUAAUAACCAAAAUUCGAAAAAUAUGUUUUAUGAUCCAAAAUUGAUUGACACUAAUAUCAAUUGUUACAUAAACUUUAUGUGAAAUAAUUAUUUUGGAAAAUCAAUUUGGAUGCAUAAAGCAUAAUAGUUAUAAGAAAUAAAGAAAUGACAAAAUAAUAAUUAUAUUUUUGUCUUAAUCCAUGAUACCGAUAACACUUUUAAAGUGAGUUCGAGUCACUUUGUGAAUUGUUGGGUCAAGGUAUUCAACUCAUCAUUCUCAUUUAGUAGAUGAGACAAUUGUGUGGUAUAUGUUGUUAUAAGCAAAACAACUAAAAACAUAAGAAUACAAUACAACUUAGGACCUUAACUUUAAAAAAAGAUUUAUAACUCUUAAUCUUCUCAUAAAAGAUUAUAUGAGAGUUAUACUCAUUAUUUUUAAACAUUAUAUAUAAAUUAAUGGACAAUAGUAAACUACCAACUUGAAUACAUUCAUGUAAUUAUAUAAAUUACACUUUUUCAUCUUCCUCUAUUAGUCAUAAACUUUAUAUAUAAAUUAAAUCUCAUAAUGAUGGAGUUACAAAAGUUGUAAUACCAUAUUCGUAUAAAUGAAAAUUUUCUAACUCCAUAUUUAUAAUUUUAAUUUUCUAUGUUAGAAGUUGAAUUUGUUCCACAUCGCCAAGUUACCGGGUUAUUAUGUUGUUUAUAUAUGUGGAUUGGGCACCCUCUCCCUUUAAGCAAGCUUUUAGGGAUGAAUUAUAUUCAAACCCAUUUAACAUGGUAUCAGAGCUUGGUUUGACUGGGGGUCGUGGGUUCAAGCCACCUCUUCGCAAUUCGUAUGUUUGUUCCUCAUUUGCAUGUUUGAAAGUCUAGAAAAGGGUAUUUGCAUUUGUUUGUUUGUCCCUUCACGUGUGGAUAUGGGGCCACACAUAAGAUAUGGUGUUAAAAAGCAUGAAAUGUAUAUUGAACCCAAAUCUUAUAAGUUUAAGCUUUUAGGAAAAUUAGUAAUUCAACAUUCUAUACAUAAAAUUAUUUGAUGUCCAAUCAAUUGAUUCACCUACCUAUCAAUUAAUAUACUUUUAAAUAAAAUAUAUUUCAAUCCAUUACACAAAUAUAAUUAAAACAAAGUACUAUAAUAAUAUGAGUAUGUGACAAAUAAAUAAAAUAAAAAUAAUCACAUGUUACAUGUAAACUAUAUUCAAAGGAAAAACCACAAGUCAUCCCCACUAUUAAACAAUCCAUUGUAUAAUGAUCAAUUACAAAGACCAAGUAUUACCAAACUUAAAAGUAUCUAAAUCAUACUCACUUUGCACAUUUUCUUUAUACUUGGAUCCUUUAAACUCAUUUAUCCCAAUGUGGAAGCAUCUUGAGUUCUAAUCAAGGAAAUCAACCUUUACUUCAUCAAGUUAAAGUCUCUUUAUAUCAUUGACAACCAUAUCAAGAUUUCUUUUGUUGGUUGCUUUCAAAGUCCCACUAGAAUUAGAUUGAAAUUUUUAUAAUCUCUAGAACUUUAACAUAUUAAUUCUUCAAUGAGUCAAUCAAAUAUUAAGUUUUAUCUCCAUAGAUGGACCUCAAUGAAUUUUUCGACAAAGGUGUUAACACUAAUUUCAUAUUAGUAAAAAAAAAUCAUGUGACACAUAUUGAUAUAUAUAUAUAUAUACUAAUUUCAUAUUCAUAGAUUGAAUUCAUGAGAAAAUUAUUCUUAAUUUUGUAAAAAUUAUAUAUAUAAGAAAGUUUUUAGGCUUACUAAAACACAUUACUAACCAAGUGGCAAUAUAUUUAUAAUUUAGGUCUCAUUAUUUUGUAAUCAAGUUUCAUUCAUUUGUAUCAUAUAUGAGUCCUAUUAUGUCAUACCUUACUCUUAUUACAUUGUACUUUGAUCUUAUUUGUUUAAACAUCGAUUUCAUUUCUUUAUAUGUACAUCACAUUUAUUUAUAUCUCAAUCUUAAUUAUUUGUAUCUUUAUUUAACAGUUUAGAUUUCAUUACAUAUUUUUAAAAUUUUAAUUUGAAAUUCGAUAUCUUAGUAUUUUUCUAAAAUAGCUACCUAUAAUCCUUGUAGAGUACUCAAAAUUCACUCCAACCCAUAAAAAAAAAUGACCUCUCUUCGUAAGUUGCUAUACUCAUUGCUAAACUAUAAUUCCAAAAUUAGCAGAACUUUUCAUACUUAUUCUAGGCAAUUAGAGUUGAGAUGUUCCGGGCAUAUACCAUAUUCUUUCAAGAUUUGAAAGAAAUGUUACGAUUUCAGCAUUAAAUAAUGCAUGUCGAUUAACAAUAUUGCUCAGAUUCUUUAGGCAAAGGUCCACAGACAAAAAAAUUAUUUAUUUAUUUUCUGAACCACCCCUGAAAUUGACACCUCCCAUACAGUCUGAUCUGCAUUUCUGUGGCACUAUUUCCCUUAUUCCUAACCAUAAAUCUGCUGCCAUCUCAAUAAUUCACAUCCUUAUCCACUCCUUAUCUAGGGUUGUAACACUUUUUUCAAAAAGAUUUUUUUUUUUUUUUUUCGAAGGGGUGGAUAAGGGUCCUGAGACAAGCUGUGGUAUAAUUAUAAACCCACUUGGGUAAUGGUUUCAUUGUCAGGGUAAUUCUAUUUAAGGUGAAAAUCAGCUGGGUCUAUCAUUCUUGUUUCCAUGUGACUGUUUCCAAGGAGAACUCAACCCUCAAAUCCAUCGAGCAGUCAUAUAAAAAUACACGCAGAUUUCAUAUCUUGAAGCUUGUCCUGUGUUCAGAUCGGAUAACUCACUCAUAUGCCUAAUCACUAAUCGCCAACUUGAGUGUAAAAAAAGCGUGGGGCGAUAUUAUUUGUAUAUGGGUUUGACUGUUUGAGAGAGAAAGGUGGGGUGUCCCUUGGAGGAGUCCAAAGGCCAUUUUUGAACCUGCCUUUGAUUAUCGCCAUGGCAAAUCAACAGCUUGUAGUAUAUAUAUAUUAAUGGAGACCAAGACUCAAAUAGAGAGAGAGACGCGGGGAUGCGAUAAAGAGAACAGUAUAGCCAAGAGUAUAUAAGCAUUUCUCUUGCUGUAAUGGUGAUUCAGAGACUGGAAAUGUGUAUAUCACUGCUGAAAAUGGCAGUAGAGUUUGUGCUUGUUUUCGCGGAGGCAGUCGGGCUAGUCAUCAACCACAAUGCCACGCCGCUUUUGGCAAACUCAGCCUCAGUUGGCAAUGAUGUUUCUGUCCCUUUUAUCGGUUUUCUUCUUUGAAUUCUUCGUCUUGUAGUUUCCUUCCUUACCAGAAUGCUCAUUGGCCAUUGUAUAUGUUGAGGGUUCUUUUUUGCCUUGAUAGAUUUUCUAAAGGAUGUGCAUGUUUGAUAGGAGAGAGUAUAUAUACACAUCUAUGUAAACUUUGAUUAAAUUUUGUUCUGGGUGAGCUUCAUUUUCUGCAAAUUCAUUUGCUGAUAGCUUUGGAAACGAAUCUUCAGUUGUUUGGGUGCUGAUUAUUUGCUUGCUUCACACGAUUUUAUGUGCUGUUCCUUUGGUAAUAAUCUUGUUGGGUGGAUCAAGGAGAAGAGCGAAGAUCUGAGGGAAAAUAGAGUCUGGAGAAAGAAAAGAUGUAAUGAUGAUUAAGAAAGGCUUUAAUAUACUUGCAAGAUCAGGAAAAAAUAUUUCUUGGGUAUCAAUUAUUUUCUUGCUUGAUAUGGGUUUGAUACUCUUUUUCAAUUGGUGAUCAUUCUGGGAAGAUCAAGAAGAAGAAAAUGGGGUCUAGAUGAAGAAAAGCUAUAAUGGCGAUUAUUAAGUGGAAUCAGAUGAAAUAAAAGUCUGUUUCCAUCAUUCUUAAUAUGGUUUCUUUUGUCAAAAAUGGAAGAUGACUUGAUUUUCAUAGUCCCAGCAGGACUUUAGUACUCAUCAAACUCAUAAAUUUUGAACAACUUUGAGCUAACCUUCUGCAUUAAUUUGGUGCAUCUGCGCAGUUGCAGAGUAUGAACACCCACAAAAUCUUAAUAUGAAUCUUUUGGGGCAAUAGCUUCUAUAUAUGAUGGAUGAUAAGAACAAAGCAAAUCUUGGGUUCUCCAUGGGCACGAUCAUUUAUCCGCCAUAUAAAAUGCAGAUUUUCCUAACACCAACCCCUUAUUUUAAUAAAGUCAAGUUAUUUUAAGGCCCCCAAUAUUAGACAUGCCUUAGAAUCAUUGGGUCUGUGAUUAAAAAUGUAGUAAUAUCAUUUAAAAUACCUAACACUGAAAUUUUGAUAAUUUUGAAUGCCAUAGUGUGGAUUUGAAGAAAGAAAUCGCAUCCAAGAUCUCUUCCUUUUCCUGGGAAACAUUAGUCUUGGUCAAUUAUGAACUGUUACACGUUGCCUAUCAUGGUCAUAUUUAUAUUAGCUUUGAUUUCUAUGGGGGAUAUAAUUUAUUUGUAUGCUAAUCAUAGAGGUGAUACAUGUGAUCCACAUGUCAUAUUUGGACUUGGAAGCAAUCAUUGGAUUCCUUUGAUGAACUGGCAAUGGAAGAAUACUAAUUGCUCCGGUCCCUUUCUUUUUUCAAAGUAGGAUGAUCAGGUCCUUUGAUCCCUUCGACUCCCUCUGGCUGUUUUUCUUUGUUCUUUUUUCAAUCAUCCAUAGCUUAAAAUUAAAGCCUUGAUGCCCUCCUCGACUUUCCCAAGAUAAAACACCUUAUCUUCACUUUAUUUCUCUUCCCUUUAAAUUUGAUUUUAGAUCUGAAAUCCAGGGCUUAUGACCCUGUAGAAGAAAGACAGAUAUGAAGCUUGGGAUGAUUUGAACUUCAGUUUGAUUUUCUGCACACUCUGUUAAAACUCCUGAAAUAUAGUUGUAUAUUGCAAUACAUUUAAUUGUUUGAUACAUCUGAACUAUGAUGUUCUAUUAGUAAAAAUUUCUUUGAAUCAAUCCACGGCUCAAAGUACCAAUUUCUAUUGAAACUUUUUUUCUUUUCCUGCUCAUUCAAUUGUUUCAUUUUCCACAUAAUGGUAUGACAACAUCAAGAAUACUUCUCAGCAAUUGCCUGCAGGUGAACCCAAAGCUCUUUUGGCUUAGAGAUCAUGACCAUGUGAUCAGAUCCUUUAAUCUCUUUAACAGCAUCAGGUGGGUUUUUUUCAAUCAUCCAGAGUUGAAAAUCCCUUUUCCCCAGCUUGUCUUCCUCUGAAAUAAUAAAGACACGUUUAACCGAGGCAUAUUUCUUCGACAACAUGAGCUCAUUUGACAUGUCUUCUUCAAUGAACAAGCGUACGGGUCUCAUCAACACAGUCCCUAGUGCCAAGUCCUGGAAUAUUUGUGCCCGAAAUGAUAUGACAACAACAAUGAAGGUCUCAUGAUUUUGGUUGUAAGGCCUUAAUAAAUGGAGUUCUCACCUCAGUUGGGCUCAACUGAUACACAUUCAGUGAUAAGAACAAGGGGCCAAAGCUGAAAGUGGUGGGAGGAUUGUUGGGGCCAUUAUCAUAUGUGAACUGGCUGUCUAGUAGAGGACCUUGUCUCCUGAGUGACUUCAAUAAGAAGUAGAAACCAGGCUAAAAGUCAGAAACAGGGGAAGCCUUCCCCUCUUAAUCAGCAAGUAAAUUUCUGUAAAAGAAAAAUAGUAUGUAUGAAGUACCUCUUGAUUGAGAGUGGAAAUGUUGAGAGUGGGACCAGGCAUUGAGGCAGUAACAAAAACAGCUACAGAAACCUUUUCUGGGAACUUCUCCAUGGCCUGAGAAAUGGCCAAUCCACCCAAGCUGUGUCCAACGAGAACCACCCUCUCAUCUGCAGGGAGUGACUCCACGAAGUCCCUCAGUGGCUGGAAAUACCAAGAAAUUGAUCGCAGAUCACCCACUUGUUUUGGGUUAAUUCCAGAAGCAGCCAAGUCCAGAGCAGUAACUUUGUGGCCAGAUGAUUUUAGUAGUGCCACAAUCUUGUACCAAGACCAGGCACCAUGGCAAGACCCAUGAACUAGAACAAAGUGCUUGACGGGAUUAGCCUGUCUCCCCUCUGAUGCCAUUGGAUACACUGAAGAAACAAGAAAAAUCAGAAAGGAAACAAAAAUCAUAUGCUUCUUCCUUGCUUCCAUACUCCUUUCCUGUUACAGAGAUGGUCAGCACCCCAGCAUUUUAAAGGGCACAAUUGGGUAGGUUUUCACUACAACUACUAAUCUAAUUGAUUAAAAAUUUUCCCGUGAAAUUGACUCUAGAAAUAAAAUAAGGACUAAGGAUUCAAGAACACGUACACUUUGACUGCCAGAGUUUAUGUCUUUUCAUAGAUGACACAUGCACCUGCGUCACACUCUUUUUCAAUGAUAAAGAAGUUAUGCAAAGGAAGAAAGAAUGAAAUAUACAGAGUCAAGUAGUUAACUCCUCCCCUUGAAUUCUUCUCUUGCCCGGAUUGGUUUGUAACUGCAAACAUUUUCUUUUCCCAAUGUGAUCUGUGGAUUGAGUUCUGAUCUCAAUUUGUUUUUGGCAUUUUUGGUUUUGCUUCUGCAAAUCUUGAGAUGUAUCUUUCAAUUAAUAUAAGUUGUGCAGUUAAGGUUUUUGGACAUAUAAAAUGUUAGCCAAACCUUUCCCGUGGCAGGUUGAAGGUACUUUGGGGUAGGCUUGGUCAUGCUUGAUACCUCAGUCUGACUCAAACAUGAUGUUUUCACCCAUUUGAAUUGAUCAAAGUUGUGUUGACUGGCAUGAUUCCUUUAAUAAAGAAGUUGUUUUAGGAUUAAGGCGUACAACACAAAUUUGACUUAAGUAGAUCUAUUUAAUUAUUGUGUAUUAACAUAAUUAUAAUCAAUUGAGUCGAAAAUGAAUUAAAUUAAAAAGUUAAUUUUAUUGAUUUAAAUAAGACCUAAUUCAACCUGAUUAUUAAAUUACUCAACUUAUUAUAUGAUUUGAACACUGCCCACCAACAUUAAUUGUAACCCGUGCUUUGAGUUCAGGUGGCAGCAAGAGUUUGGCCUUUGUUUUGAGUGUUGGAUGAAUGUUGGAUUAACCUUUCCCAUGGCUGUCAAAUUCCUCAUAAAUUAUUGGUGAUUGUAAUAAUUUCCUCAAAAAGUAAUGGUGCUAUAUGCUUCUUUAGGAUCCAUUGAUCUUAAUAAUUCUCUUCCUGGUAUAGGAAGAAAGUGACUAUUCCAUUACUGCAGCUUUCAUUGCUGCUUAUUUAUCAAGCAAAUUACAUUAUUAUUUUCACACCAAAUCUCCAAAUUCACCAUGUACUUAUCCUAUAUACUGCAUGGUGAACUUCAGAGAGCUAAAACAAGCUCUUAUUGAAUACAUGAUAGAUGAUGUCCCACUGACCCUUUUACUCUGAUACCUUGAAAUGAGAAAUUUGGAGGUUUUCCACAUCAAGCUUCUUGAAAUUACUGCGCCUUCUCGCAGCAAAGAACUUUCCCCAGUUGUAUGCUCUGUACUUUGGCUUUUCUCCCUUCGUCAGCUCCUCCAAGGGCUUCACCCAAACAUGGUGCCCGGGACUGAAAAAGACCGGAAUUGAGAACCUUUCCCUCUCUGAAUUCACCGUCACCCUGUGCUCGACACUUUCAUAAGUAUCGUUGCUCCAGACCUGGUUUAAUAUCAGUAUAAUUAGCCAAAAGGGUGCAAAAUUUCUUGAUCCCAACAGUACUGAUAAGCAUGUACUUAUAAUUCAAAGUUCUUGGGUGGUACCUGAAUUAUAUCCCCAACAUUGAUGAUAAAAGCAUCUGGGGUGGGCUUAACUCGAACCCAUUCUCCAUUGGUUUUUCGCUUUACUUCCAACCCUCCAACAUCAUCCUGGGCAAGGAUGGUUAAGGCUCUGGAAUCCUUGUGGCGACCAACGCCCAAAGCUAGGUGAGGGAUGGGGCAAGGUGGGUAGUGAUUGAGGCGGAUGAAGUUUGUUGAUUCUUCAAAGAGAAUAUUGAAUCUGUUUUCUGGCAAACCUAAGCUUAGUGAGAUGAGUCCUAACAGCUUGAAAGCUAGUUUUCCCAUUUCUCUAGCAUAUUCUUCACAUACCUCCCUGUAUUAAUCAGUUCAAUUAGAACAAAAAAAAAAAAGUAAUUCACUGUAGUGACUGUGCCUUAACUGGUGAAACUUGUACCUUAAUUCAGGAGGGUACUGAGGCCACUGAUUGGUCAGCUCUUUGAGCUCCUUGUCGUCAGGAUCAGGCGAAGCAGGGAUGAAGGCGGGGGUAGGCACCACGAAAUCAAAGACUUCCUUCCAGUCCCUAACGUUCUUGGUAUGCUCAGUAUCAAAGUACCCCAAAGGAUUCACCUCAUCUCUACUCACCUUCCUCUUCUCCUCCAGUGGGAGAGCGAAGAACUUCCUCGCGGCAUCCUCAAUUUUACGACGAGACUCCGAGGGCACCCCAUGGUUGAUGACUUGAAAGAAGCCCCAGUUCUUGCAUGCAUCAGCUAUUUGAGAAACAUGGUUGGAAGCAUUGGCGGAAGAGAGAUCAAUGAGGGGGAUGCCUUCAGCUUCGAUAACAGCGAGCUCAGGCCUGUGUUGGGUGUCUUGGAUGAAGGCUGGAUCGACCUCUCCCAUGGCUGUGGUAGUGGUUAGAACUUAGAACUCAGAAAUGGUGGUUAUGCACUGCUAGUGUUAGCUGCAGGUGAAGAUGGUGACGGGGAUUUGGCCACUUGGCAGGUGGUUUAGUACAUUGAACCUGGACAUAAAUUGGGUUACGUUUUAAGUUUUGGUUGGGGGUGUGAGCUCACGGGUUGCGCAUAUGUUAAUGAUAAUUGUUCAAGUGAUUUUACCGACAUAAAACAAAAUCUGCCGCCCCAAAGGAAUCUCUCUCAAUGAUUUUACCGACAGCACUCUCCACAUUCAAAUGUUUCAUCCGUAUUUGAAUUGGAGUCUAAUACUCUCAUUGUUUAAUUAACUCCAGCUUGAUUAAUGAAUCCAGUGGUGUCGUGUAUAUUUUCGAAUUCUCUGCUUUAUAUUUAAACCUUCUUGGUUUUUAUGUUCUCAUCCAAUGGUUUAAAACCCAAAAACGAUGCAAAGAGAAAAAGAGAAAAAAAAAAAUAUACAACACAAUUGGAAUUAAAAUAUAUGUAAUAAAAAAAAUAAAAACUAAUUCAUUUUGAGUUUUAUUUUUCAAAAUAAUAACUCUAAUAUAAUAACUAAAUAAAUAAACAUAUAGUAAUUAAAUACAUAAUAACUAAAUAUAUUAAUGUCUUCUCAUAAUUGAGACUUUACAACAUAUACUCAAUUUUUAAACAAUUCUAAAAAAAUAAGUGAAAAUAAUUAAAAAUACUUAAAAUAUGUUACCAACAAAUACCUUAUUGUCCUAACAAAUCUCAAAAACCUUAUUUAGGACCAAUUGAAAAUCAAAAAAAAAUUCAUAUUUCUUUACUCUUGAAAAAAAAAAAUGGUUCUUGAUGACAGUCUCAAACAUAUCCUCCCAUUUGGUUAUUUUAUUGUAUAAGUUUUUCAAUAAAAUAAAAUAAUUAAUGAUAGUGUUUGUAAGGAAAAAUCAAAAUAUCAUACAAAAUUAAUACACAUCUUUUUAUUAUUCAAUAUUUCUAUAUCAUAUUUACAUUUUUUUUUAUAAAAAAAUUAUAUAUAUACAAUGUUUUAAAAACCGGAUCGGAUCGGCCGAUCCAACCGAUGACCGGUCACAUUUUCGGUCCGAUCCACUCUAUUAAACCGUUUAACUAUUGGAUCGGUUACGAACCGCCUAAACCAACGGUCAAACUGGUGAACCGAACAGUCCAUAUUGGCCCAUCAUUUUGCAAGUCCAUUGUAUAAAAAAUUAAAAGUUGUAGGCCAAAAACCAUACUAGGCCAUGUCUUAACAUGACAAAGCCCGCACCCAAACCAUUUAAGUAGGCUCAGUUUUGAGCCCACAAGGUGGGCAUGCUGUUGCUUUCAAUGAGGAUACUUUUUAUAGGCAUCCUUUGCACCCUUAUUUCUCUCACAAUCCGAUGUGGGAUUGCAAACUAAUAUGAUAAUAUCAAUGAAAAAAAUUUAACAAAUGCAACAAGAGGGAGGAUUUGAAGUGGGACCUCAGGUUUUGUAAAUAAACUAGGACACCACUCGGCUACUUAUUUGAUAUGCCAAACAAAACAAUAUAUGUUGGAUUUUAAUUUUUUUUUAAUAUUAAAUAAAAAUAAUAUAAUAUUUUUAAAAAUUAUAAAAUUAGUUAAAUUUUUCAUUUUGAAUAUAUUCACAUUUAAAUAUUGUACACAUUUCAUUUAAUAUGAUUUAAUUUGAUAAUAUCAAAUAUAUAAAAUAAUAUUAUUGAUUUUUAAUUUAUUCAUAUAUAUUUUAAAAUUUUUAUAAUUAUUUUUAAUUUUAAUAAUAUAUAAAUUACAUAUUUAUGACGUCAUCGGUUCGACCGCGGUUCGACCAUCGAUUCGACCGCGGUUUGAUCGGUAAACCGUGAACCGGUAACUUUUUCGAUUCAAUGACCCAUCCGGUUCUGAAAACAUUGUAUAUAUACAUAAUUUUAUCAUUUUUUUAAGUUAUAUUUAAAAUUUUCAUAUAUUUAAUCAAUUUACUAAUAUCAAUAUUUCCUUACAUAUUUUAAUAGUCGUAACCAUACAAAAGAUUGUCAAAUUAAAGGAAACAACACAUGAAAUGAGGAUGUGGAAAAAAAAAACACGAUAACAACGAAAUCAUGAUUUGUUUUUUAUUAUUCAAUAUUAUUAUAUCAUAUUUACAUUUUUUUUAUAAAAAAAUUAUAUAUAUACAUAAUUUUAUCAUUUUUUUUAAGUUAUAUCUAAAGUUUUCAUAUAUUUAAUCAAUUUACCGAUAUCAAUAUUUCCUUACAUAUUUUAAUAGUCGUAACCAUACAAAAGAUUGUCAAAUUAAAGGAAACAACACAUGAAAUGAGGAUGUGGAAAAAAAAAACACAAUAACGACGAAAUCAUGAUUUGUUUAAGGCGAAGGAAAUAAUAGUGAGAUAGACAAAGCUUAUAAUAACAAAGUACUGACAUUAUUAAUAUGUGGAAUUUGGUUUUCAGUUUUUUUUUAGAUUUUUAUAUAUUAUAUCUAUAAAUCUUAAUUCAAAUCUAAGUAAUACUUAAUAGAACUAUGAUGUUUGUUUUUUUUUUUUUUUUGUUUCUUUUAUCUAAAUCUUAAAGCAAUUUGCUUAAAAAUUGAAAUCAUUUUUAAAAUUAUUUGUUUAUUUCAUUUUAAUAGGAAAAAUAAAUAAUUUUACUUUUAACUAUGUAUACCUUAGUGAUGGGAUCAAAUUCCCAACGCAAUCAGUUUGAAUAACAACAUAUGAUUGAAGACGAUCAUCGCUAAAAGCUCUAUAUUCCCCAACCCAAUCAGUUUGAGCUCAAAACCAAGCUGCAAUUCAACCUAGUUUUGCAAUGGAUUGCAUCAGAUUUGUUUCCAAGAAGAUAAAAAUAAAACGAAACUUGGAAUAAGCAUCAAUGAAGUGAAUGUGAAACUGAUAGCCAAUAGAGGAUUGUGUAUUUGACACUCCCCAAAAAUCUGACUGCAUUAAUUUGGAGCAGUUCCGUAUAUUGAGUUGCAGAUAAUGGAAAUGGGAAUUCAUGGAUUUUGCCCAGACAACAUGUUGAAUUGAAACUACUCAAUUCAACAGAAAAGAAGCUACCAUGAUGGAGGUUGAGGAGUACUCCAUUGUUGGCAGUGGAGGCUCUCAUACCGUCUGAAGAAGCUAAACCAAAAGAAAUUCCAGCAGAAAAGAAAUGCUUUUUCCCUCAUCUAAAUAAUUGAUUACAAAAUUCUAUACAUAGCUAAUUGUAGAACAAACUUUAAUUAUCUGGAACUGUGAUAACAAACUACUAAUUGGGUCAACCAACUCUCUUGGCAUGAUUUAUUUAGAGUCCAACACCAUGAUUUUUCAGGGACUAAAAGUGGAAAAUGGUCUUACAACAUCAUUGUUCGGAAACUCUGAAAUGAUGAAUCUGAAUGUUUUCGACAGUUUGCUUCUUGAAAUCACUCCUGUUUCUAGUUGCCAUGAACUUUCCCCAGUUGUACUCUUUAAAUUUAGGGGGGUUUUCCUCAUUGGUCAACUCCUCCAAUGGCUUCACAUUCACAUGAUGCACCGGUAAGAAAAAGAAUGGAAUCGAAAACCUUUCCUUCUCACUAUUCGCCACCACCAUGUGCUCCACGCUCUCAUAUUUAUCAUUGCUCCAAACCUGUAUAGUGUUGGAUAAAUAUUGAGAAAAAGUAACACCAAUUUCUCCAACAUGUUUUUCUUUUUUUUUAAAUAAUAAUAAUAAGAUACAAUAUAUAAGACCUAGCUAUUAUAAUACCUAUAAAAAAAACUCAAACCAAUCACAACAUGUCAUGUAUAUAAUUAAGUUUAUUUACUUCGUAUAUGAUUUCAUUUUUCUAGAUCUAGUCUCGAUACUUUUAUCCCUAUCCAAUGCUCUAGAUUUUAUCCUAUACUUUUGAGGAGGUUUUGAAUUGAUAACCUACAAUUUUCCAAUGUGUACAAAUGAAAUUGAAGUCAUUUGAUGGAUCAUACCUGAAUAAUAUCACCAACAUCAAUGAUAUAAGCAUUUGGAAUAGGCUUUACUCCAAUCCAUUCACCAUCAACUUUUCCCUUCACUUCCAACCCUGUGACACCAUCUUGAAAGAGAACGGUUAAAGCUUUGGCGUCCUUGUACCGACCCACAACGAGAGAGCUUCGGCCACGAGAACGGCGGAGAGUGAUAAUUGAGUCGGAUUAAGCUGGUUUGCCAUUGGAAUAACUCAUUCAACUAGUCCCCGGCCAAGCCUAAGCUUAAGAAGAUGAGUUCUAAGAACUUGUUGGCUAAUUUUUCUAUUUCUCCAACAUAUUCUUUCCAAAUUUUCAUGAAAAUAAGUCAUUAUAUAAAAUAUAUCAAUACUCAAAAUGAAUUUAAUAAAAUCUUGCCAUGCCUUUACGUCUCUAUUUGAGUUUGUUUGCCUUUGAGUUGUGCCUUUACGUCUCUACUUGAGUUUGAUCGACUUUGAGUCGCAUUUUUAUGCCUCUAGUUGAGUCUAUUUAGCUUCAAGUCGUGCCUUAACAGUUCGAGUUUAGUCUAUUCGGCUUCAAACCGCACUUUUACAUCUCUUUCAUCUUUGAGCCACGUAUUUAUGUCUCUAGUUGAUUUUGUUUGACUUUAAGCUGCACCUCAUGCCUUUAGUUGAGUCUGUUCAGCUUCUAGUCGUGCAUCUAUAUUUCAAGUUGAGUUUAUUUGGCUUCAAGUUGUGUCUUUACGUUUCAAGUUGAAUCUAUUUGGCUUCAAGUUGAAUCUAUUUGGUUUCAAGUCGCACCUUUACAUCUCUAGUUGAGUCAGUUCAACUUUGACCCACGUCUUUACAUUUCUUGUUGAGUUUGUUCAACUUCAAGUCAUGCUUUUAUGUCUCUAGUUGAGUUUGUUUAGUUUCAAGCCACAGCUCUACAUCUCUAGCUGAGUCUAUUCUGCUUCAAAACAUGCCUUACAUUUCAAGUUGAGUCUAUUCGGCUUCAAGUUGCGCUUUUGCAUCUCUAAUUGAGUCUAUUCGACAUUGAGCUACGCCUUUACUUUUCAAGUUAAGUCUAUUUAGCUUCGAGCAACGCCUUUAUAUUUGGAGUUGAGUCUGUUAGGUUUCAAGCUACGCUUUUACAUCUCUAGUUGAGUCUAUUCGACUUUGAGUCAUGCCUUUAUGUUUUGAGUUGAGUUUAUUCAACUUUGAGUUACAUUUUUGCGUCUCUAGUUUAGCAUGUUCAACUUGAAGCAAUGUCUUAACGUUUCAAGUUGAGUUUGUUCGGCUUUGAGUUGCGCCUUUACGUCUCUAGUUGAGUUCGGCUUCGAGUUGUGCCUUUUUGUUUCGAGUUGAGUUUGUCUUAACUUUGAGUCACACCUUUACGUCUCUAAUUGAGUUUGAUUGGCUUCAAGCUGCGUCUUUAUGUUUCAAGUUGAGUUUGUUCGGCUUCAAGUCGUAGCUUCAAGUCAUGCCUUUAUGUCUCUAUUUGAGUAUGUCUGGCUUCAAGCCACGUCUUUAUGUUUUGAGUUGAGUUUGUUAGGCUUUGAGUUGCACCUUUACGUUUCGGGUUGAGUUUGUUCAGCUUUGAGUCACAUUUUUAUAUAUCUAGUUGAGUUUAUUCGACUUCGAGCCACACCUUUGAGUUUCAAGUUGAGUCUAUUCGGCUUCAAACCACACUUUUACGUAUCUUGUUAAGUCCUAUUCAGCUUCGUGCUAUGCCUUUACAUUUCUUGUUGAGUUUGUUCAGCUUUGAGUAUCGUCUUUAUCCUUAUUAAGUUCAUUCGGCUUUAGUCGUGCCUUCACCCUUAUCCUUAGUUUUGAGCCUAUUUGACUUCAAGCCAUGCGUUUGUCCUUGUUAAGUUUAUUCGGCUUCAAGUCGCCUCCUAGUUUUAAGUUUGUUUGGCCUCAAGCCGCACAUUCCCCUCUAUUUGAGUUCAUUUAGAAUUUUCCCCUUCCUCGAGUUUAUUAUGACAUUCUCUUCCUUCAAUAUCAUUUUUUGUGAGUUAAUCACUUCUUAUCUUGGUUGUCCUUGAGUUGUAUGUUGUGUCACGAUCUAGUGUUGUUCAUUGCAUAUACACUCCCCACAUUAUUUGUAUCUUUAUCUUAAGUUUCUUCCUUAGUAUGUGAUCCUGAUCUUUGAGCUUAGCAUGCCAUGUGUUAUGAAAAAAUUAUGAGUUCUCUUUUGUUCUUCAAUGCAAUUCACUUCAUACCAUUCAUCACUCAUGUUUCACUCUUCGUGUUCAGUUCACUCAUGAACUAUAUCAAAUAAGGGCAUAUUUAUAGACCCUCCAUUUUGUCUCAUAGCACGUAUGUUUGCAUUUUUUAUUUUCCUCUCGCCCCAUGCCCAUUUUAAUUUGGUGUCCGUUUGGAUACUUCUUGCUUAAUCAUUCAUCAUCCCUUAUUAGUUCACAUUUACUUGGCUCAUUAAUCAUUUUUUAGCCACAUUUUGGAGGCCAUUUAGGGCGAUUUUGGGUCUAAGCUUUUUUUUUUUAGAGGCUCUCAGUAGAUGGCUCAUAAUGAGGACACGUGUUUUUAAAGGGGUCUUCUAGAGGCUUCUAGGGUCAGUUGGGAGAGCACGUUCUUAUUUAUAUAUCUAUUGUUUUGGAGGUGAGUUGUACACCAAGAGAAUGAGGGAGUAGAUGGAGGUUUUUUAAACAUUGUAAGAGGAGAUUCGUUUUGAUUGGCAUUUAUACCAAUAAAAUCUUGGGAUUACUGAGAACUCAACGGGACCUUCCCUCUCAAAUCAUACAAACUUGGCCAAAGAGGGGUGGGUACCAUUGAGUUCUUAGGCUUUCAUGUCGAUAACUCAAUUCAUCUUAUUACUAAAGGGAUGAACCCAAUCCGGAAUAUGAACCAAAAAAGAAAAUGUCUAUUAAAUUGAUGACAGGAAUACCAGUUACAGUAGCUAUUAGCCAAAAGGAAUCCUUCCAAGUUGGAGGUGGUUAGAGAGAGAGAAGGCUGGGCGAGAGAGAGAGACACGUAAAGAGAAUAUUCUCUCUGGUGAGGGUUUGUUAGACGGGAAGCAAGAAGCUUGAGGGUAGAGAGGACAAUCAGAGGAGGAGUUUGGAGGAAGAGGGGAAGGGAGCUCGAAGGCAAGCAGAUCAGUGCUUGAGGGGACGUUUUUCCAAGUAUGAUUAUUGGGUCUCUCAUUUUCCGCUGUUCUCCUUUCCUUCCCGGUUGAUCUCUGGAUUUUAGUUGAUGCUUUGAUAUGGAUUCCAGAUGCCACACUUCAUCUUGUUGAGCAUUGGUUAGCUAUGGACUUGUUACUGCUACUCUUCUGUUUCUUUUGAGUUAACUUUGGAAAUGAAUCUGAAUAUAGACUGGUAUUUGCUGCUUGAUGUUUCGGGAAUCAUAUUUUAGUUGUUUAAAAUUCAUUCUGGCAUGUUCGGUUCCUUCAAGCUCAUUGAUGAAAUAAUGAAAUGGAGCUCUAUAUAUUUGUUAAUGGGUUGGUUCUCUGUUUGGUUAUCUUUUAAGUUCUUCCUCUUCUCUUUUCUCGUUGCCUUCUCUUCUCUAGGGGGGUGUCGUUUGAGCAUAUGCAUACUAGGAGAAAUGGGGAGCUGGAGGCUUAUCCUGGCAUCAACCUCGCGUUGGGGACGGCUUGAUCGAAGAACAUAUGAAUUUUUCAGAUACCUAGAACUUACAUCAAAAGAAGCCUCGGAGUCUAGGUCAAACACAAACACAUCCUUUGCCUUGGUGAUUUUAUUGACUUCUGCAUGAUGGGCACCCGAGGGUGGGGACUGGAAGAGAAAUGAUGAAUCUGCCUAAUAUAGUUUGUCUAGAAAGGAGCUUGUAUUAAAUGAUGGUUACCCACUGUGUCAGAUGCUGAAAUCUGGGUAUGAGGACUCCCGGUGGCAUCGGAAAGAUGAGUCGCACCAUUCUUCCCACAGUAGAAAGCUUGACCUCCGAAUUUGGGCUUUUUCAUGGCCAGACGAGAGGAGUGAUCGCAAUAGUGCGAGCAGAGCCAGUCAAAUUAAGCCUGUUAUCAGAGGAGUGAACCUACUGCCUUGUUCUAUCUCCGAUGGUCUGCUCAGCUCCUUCAACCUCCACCGCUCUCCUCUUUCCAAGUUCUCCAUUUUCAGUCUAGAGCCAACAAGAGUCGCAGAAAUCCUCAAAGAUUGACCUACAUGGUAUCGUGAGUACCUCGAUGUGGAUGUUCUUAAUGAGUUGUCAACUGGAGCCAAAUGGGUGUUUGAUAAGACCCAGUGAAGAUGUAAAAAUUAUAUAAUGAAGCUUGCAGAAAGACUCAAGGGUUGAUGGAAGGCAUCUCAACGAAGUUUGGCUUUUGUAUUGUGAAUCUGGCAAAUUACCUAUACUGCAUGGAUCAUCACUCUUUUCACGUGGAGGUACACAUGUCCUUUGUACUGUACACUUGGGGCAUCACAACCUGGUGAUGAUCAACGACUGGAUCCUCUGGUUGGUCCUCCAACAAAGCGCUUCAUGCUUCACUGAAAUUUCCCGGAGUUCUCGAUUAACGAAGUUGGCCAGCUUCUUAACCUGCACUGUUCCACAGAAGUCGCAUAAAGAUUUGACAUUGAAAUUGAUGUGGUUUUUCCUUUGCCAAUGGUGGUGGGCGCGCUUUGUAUGUAGAUUCCGAAGGAACUUCCAACUUGAUGGCUGUGAGUGGUAAUUAGGUUGGAGAAGAAACUACUGGGUCUGCCCCAUUAGUUUUCCAUUGUUAAGGUAGUUUGGUGCACAGCUUUCUGGAUCAUCUACACCACCAGCACCUCCAGCCGCCUGUUUUGAUCAGUUUCUGGAUUUCCAUCUCCAAAUUGUGCAAGCAGCGACUGAUUUGGUGUCCAUACAAGCGGCUACUGAAAUGGUUCAAACCUCAAAUGCUGAAGGGAAAGGAGCUUUUGGAAAAUAUCAUGAAGAAGACUCACCCAUCUUACAUGAAAUUAUACACAACUCCAUGGACCAGAACCGGAACUCAGACUUAAAUUUGUCCAAGAGAAGAUCAGUGUUAUACAAGUCAAUUGCAGUCAUUCCUGAAAGAAGUGAUCAGAAGAGUAAACCUGGAAAAGCAGCGAGUGAAACAAGGUCUGUGACAUUGAACAAUUUGCAGAUGGGUGUUCCCACAAGCUCCUUUCCCCUCUUCCCACGUGCAUGAAAUUCCUACAUGCAUGGCCACCUUCUUAGGUGUGCAAUUCGGUGCAUAUGCUCAAGCGUACUACCCCCCUCUUCUUUUAAAAAAAAAAUGAUUUUAAAUUUAAAUUUUUGACAAAUUCAUUUCCCUUUUAAAAUCCCUCCUCAGUAAUUCUCUUCAAAUUAAUAAAAUCUAUUUUCAAUAAAUUUCUGCUGUCAUCUUCCUUUUGGCGUGGACCAUUUUUCUAUUUUCUUUGAUUUUUAAUAAUUUUCUGAUUUUUUUUAAUAAAUAUGAAUAAAUUCUAUGUUUUUUAAAAUAAUGGAAUUUUCUCCAAAUUUCUAUUAUCUUUUUCUCCGAGAUCAUUAGGAAGAUGAAAUUCCUAAAAUUAAUUCAUGCAAAUAAAUUGGACGUUGGUGGGUCCAACAUAUGAAUUUUUCUCUUUUGAUUAUUAAUUUUAAUUGCUACGCUUGAUUGAUUAAUGAUUGAUCUCUACCUUGCUCUAACAUACAUAAGAUUUAUUGUGUUUGUGAUUGUACACUAACCAUGUUUCCCACGAAACGCUCAACUUAUUGCUAUUGUACGUUCCUUCCUUCUCCUAUUUGUUUAAGUAUAGCUCAACCAUAAUACAUCACUGAUAAUUACUUGGUAUCUAUUGAUUUUUUGAUCAAUUGUCAUAUACCUUAACGUAAUUAUCAGAGACCUGAUUUUAGGGUAUAGAGGGGUUUUACAACUUAUUAUCGUACCUUUUCAAUAAGUAACCUGACCCUCGAACCCAAACUCGGUUUUUUAUAAACCUGUACUUUCCUUUCAAGUUUCAUAUUUAGAGUUUUAUUUUUUAUUUUGUUUUCUAUUUAAAAAUAAAAUAAAAAUAAGUGUCAAAUUUAAAACCAUAUUUUCUAAAAAUCAAUUGUUCAUCAAUUUAAACUGAGUCUUGUCUUCUUUUUUUUUUUUCAAGUGAGGACAUGAUCUCAGGUCCACAAUACUAUUUUAAUAUAUAUCAUGAAAUAUAGAUAUUAACGUCAUCUUAAAGAUAUAAUUAAAUUUUUUGUUUAAAAUAAAUUAUAAUAAUUUAAAAAUAAUAUUUUAUUUAAAAUAAAUUUUAGAAUAAGCAAAGUUAAUAAGUGGACAUAGAGAAUUAUGAACCAUUGUAAAUGUAUUGAUUAUAUCUCUUUCUUCCCAUUUCAUUUUUACUCUAGUUUUUAUUAUUCGCAUCUUUUUCUACUAAAAUUUGAAAAAGAAAUUCACAUUCAAUUCAUUCGCUUCUUCUUGGGUGUAUGUCAUAGGAUUCAAAUUGUUUUUAAAAAAUAUUAAAUUUGUUAAUUGUGGCUAUAUGCUUAUUUAGGAUCCAUUCAUCUUAAUAACUCUCUUCCCGAUAUAGGAAGAAAAUGGCUAUUCCAUUAAUCCAGCAUGCAUUGCUGAUUAUUUAUCAAGCAAAUUACAUUAUUAUUUUCACACCAAACCUCCAAAUUCUCCAUGCAUAUACGCAUCCUAUACUGCAUGGCCAACUUCAGAGAGCUAAAACAAGCUCUUAUUGAAUUCAUGAUAGAUGAUGUCCCACUGACCCUUUUACUCUGAUACCUUGAAAUGAGAAAUUUGGAGGUUUUCCACAUCAAGCUUUUUGAAACUACUGCGCCUUCUCGUAACAAAGAACUUUCCCUAGUUGUAUGCUCUAUACUUUGGCUUUUCCCCCUUCGUCAGCUCCUCCAAGGGCUUCACCCAAACAUGGUGCCCGGGACUGAAAAAGAACGGAAUUGAGAACCUUUCCCCCUCUGAAUUCACCAUCACCCUGUGCUCCACACUUUCAAAAGUAUCGUUGCUCCAGACCUGGUUUAAUAUCAGUAUAAUUAGCCAAAUGGGUGUAAAAUUCCUUGAGCCAAACAGUACUGAUAAGCAUGUACUUAUAAUUUAAAGUUCUUGUGUGGGACCUGAACUAUAUCCCCAACGUUGAUGAUAUAAGUAUCUGGGGUGGGCUUCACUCGAACCCAUUCUCCAUUGGUUUUUAGCUUUACUUGCAGCCCUCCAACAUCAUCCUGGGCAAGGAUGGUUAAGGCUACGCCAUCCUUGUGGCGUCCAGCGCCCAGAGCUAGGUGAGGGAUGGGGCAAGGUGGGUAGUGAUUGAAGCGGAUGAAGUUUGUUGAUUCUUCAAAGAGAAGAUUGAAUCUGUUCUCUGGAAAACCUAAGCUCAGAGAGAUGAGUCCCAACAGCUUGAAAGCUAG